AGACAAAAAGUGGUUCGGUUCGGGCGGGUGAUGAUAACUACGCAAAAGUUUGGCAUAAUAAAAGAAAAGGUUUAGAAACAAAGGGGGAAAAAGUUCUUUAAUUUAAAAUUUGCUUAAAUUAUACCAACUUCUCCUCUAAUCACGACUCUCAUAUUUUAGAAUGAUAUGAUGGGUGAAAAUUGAAACACAUAUAAAUCAUACUAUUUAUAACUCAAUAUAAUUUCUGUAAGAAAAAAAAAAAAACGCAUUUUGAAAUUUGGAAACAUAAUUUUGCCUAGCAUGUGAACUUGUCUAUUUAAAAGAAGAGAAGAGUCCACAAUUUCCAUUUUCGUUUAUCAUUAUCAUUAUUUUAUAGCAAAUAAUAAUAAUUGGAAGCUCAUGGUGUGAGUCUGACAAUAGUACCAUUUAUUUUUAAUUUAAUUAUUCUAAAAACUCUAUCUCUAAACAAAUUUUGUAAUUAAUUCAAAAAAACAAACGAAUUAUUUGCCCUAAAAAAGUUAAAUAAAAAAAUGUGGAAUUGUUUUAACAAUUUUAAACAGUUUUGAAGGGUCAUUCAUUAAGCAUACAACUUUAAUAUCUAAAACAAAGGGGAAAUAGAAAUUACUUUUUUCUUUUUUCCUUAAAAUCAAUAAUGUAAUUUUUUUUAAAAAAAGAGUAGUAGUGGCGUUUUGAGGAUUUUGUAUAUAAAGUGUUAAUAGUGGAAACAUAUUAUAUAUGCCCUUCCUAUGGAUUGCACUAGGAUCCAUUACCUACUAUUUGCUCCCAACAUAACUAGUGGAUUCUUUCUCUUUUCCUUUAUUUAGGAAUUGGAUUCUUUAUCUAAAUCCUACCAAUUUUGUUUUCUUUGUAAAAGCUUAAUUUUUUCAUUUUUCAGUUAAAAUAUAAAGAGGUUAAAACGAACCUAAUUUGACUAAGAUAAAGUAAUACAACCAUGUAGAUAUUCGACUUUUUAUUUAAUAUGGUGCUAAAAUAGAAAAAAAAAAAUGCUCAAGUGGCUUUAUGUCAAAUGUACAUCGACUAAGACUAUAGAUAAAACUAGUUGGUGUUGUGUCUCCAUUUCCUUCUUUUUCUAUCACAAGCCUAAGUGGCAAACAUAACAUAAUUAACAAUGUGAACAAUUGUUUAGAAUUAUUCAUAUAACUUAGUUAGGAUUAAUAAUUCCAUUGGCUGUACAAACUUAGACUAAUAACCAUUUACAUCAUGAUAAACUCAGGGGUUGAUGUUAAAUUUGUAAUGUAGAUAUAUCUUUACUUUGUUUCUUCUAGCUGAUUGUUUUUUCAAGAAAGGGAUGGAAAAAAAUAAGUAUGAAUAUUUAUUUUUAGUAAAUUUUAAUUUGGAUCUUAACAUUUGUUAAUAUAUAAUGAAUAUAGGUUAUUAGUUUUUUAUUUGAUUAACAUCCGUAAGCUAAUUAGAAAUAUUAUUAUGUGGCAAAUAACAUUUGAGUGACAGUGCAUUAUAUGUAAACAAGAAGUAACAUGAGAGUGUUUAAAAUAAUGGAAGUCUAAUAGAGUAUUUUAAUUAAAAGGUUUAGGACUCUUAAGACAUGACUCAAUAAAUUAGAGUAUUUUCAUAUUUUGUCUAAAAAUUCUAGCAAUAAUAAAAUAUACUUACUUAGUAAGACACAAUCUUAGUUUGGCUAAACAACAAGAUGGGAAAUGGACUUGAAUACCUUUUUUUUUAUUUAAAAUAACAAUAUAUAUAAUUUGUCAAUUAUUAAUCCGAUUCAGAGUCGAGAAAGGAAAAGAUGAAACUAUUCUCAAAAUAUAUAUAGCAAAAAACUUGAAUGCGAUAUAGUGAUUAGUUUAACUAGUUUUAUUAUAUUUUGUAAAUAGUUUCAGAUCUAAUUAGUAGAAAAUUUAGAUUUUAUUUUAUAUUUACAAAUGCAAUGAAUUAAUUAGAUUUGAUACACGACUGGAAUUCUAUUUUUAAAAACUGUUUUUAGAUCAUGUGAUCUAAAUAACUUUUCUUUAUAUAUUUUUAAAUGUAUACGUUAUGUUAUAUUACAAAUUCAAUUCAUAUUCUUAAAUAGAAUAUGUAUUAUGUAAUGUAUUAUAAAUCAUGUUAUAAUACAAAACAAUAAUUAUAUAAAUUUUUAGAUCAAGUUACAUAUUUGGUCCUUAUGGUUUUAGAAUGAUAGAACUUGGUUUUUAGUUCUUUUGGUUUGAUAAAAUUAAAUGAAAUAUUUUUGUUAGAAAUUAUUUAUAAAAGUUAUCAAAUCAUAAGUACUAUAUAUAAGAGUUUUAAUUACAGGCUAAACUCCUACUUUCUUCACACAAUUGGGACAACAUUCACAACUUAACCAAUUUUUUUUAAAGGUAAGUUAUAUUUAUAGCUUAUUUUCAACCAAAUGUUAGUGGAUAAGUAAGAUUUGUUUUAUGGUUUAAAAUAUAUAAUAUAAUAUUUUGUAAAAAUUUAAAUUUGCCAUCCAAAAUAUAUCUAAAAACAAUUUGGAUUGAAUAGGUUGUUUUCAAGUUAUCUACCCUAAACCCUCAAAUAAUACCAUUCAAUAUUUCACUGUUUUGAAAAUGUCAUUUUUAACAAAUUAAUAUAAUGUGUAAUUAAUUCAUCAUUUAUUAAUAAUGAUACUUAUUUGUUAAGAAAACCAAAAUUUUGAUCAAAUUAUGGACCACCCAUAUGGUCUAAAAUGGGUAAAACUUUUAUAAAAAAGGGAGUCUUUUUUCGAGAGAAAAAAAAGGAAACAAAAGGAAAUGAUCAUAUUUCUCUUUCAAAAUAAAUAAAUAAACAAGGGAAUGGUGAACAACUUACUAGAGAUGGACUGUUUACAAAUAUUUUUUGGAGCAAAGGCUUUUUUGUUGUUGGUAAUUCUUUCCUAACUUCAAAUCUUUCAUUUAGUUUAGAAUAACAGAAAAUAACUUUCCUAACUUCAAAUCUUCGUUCUCACAAUCUUCUAAGGAGAGAACUUAACAUUGUAAAACCCAUUUUGUCAUUUUGUUAAUGAGAUGAGACAUGACCAUUUAAAUGUAUGUCCUUCAAGCUAUUUGUUAAUUUGUCGAUAGGACGUGAUGUUUGUAAUGUGAGCGUCUUUCAAGUCCUUCGGUACACAUUCCGUUGAUGGGAUGCACCUCCUUAGAAGAAUGUAUUUUCACAUCCAACUGUUGGGCUUAUAGGGCUUGUUCUUGCUUUGUUUCAACUGUCUAUAUUGGGCCUUAUGGACUUUUAUGGGGGUUUCAUGGGCAGCCCAUGGUUAAUUCUUUACUCUAUCCCUUUUCCCUCGCUUUUUCUUUCACUUCAAGCAUCUCAAUUUCCUCCCUUUCCAGAAACUUCAGUAAGUUCAAUAUUCUUCUAAUUCUUUGUGUUCUUCGUUUCCUUAGAUCUUCCAAUUCGCUUAAUCUUAACUUUUACUCAGCUAUCAUAGUCAGUACCUCUGUAACCCGCUUCUAUUUCUUCCUCAAGGUGAUUCUAUUACUUGAAUUUCUUGUAUCGACUCUAAUACACCAUUCUUUUUUUUCCUUUAGAUAUUUUGUACUACUCUGAUUAUAUUUGUUCAUAAUCAAAGUUGAAUUCGUUAUAAAAGUAUUUGAGUUUUCUGUUGAUGAUAAAGCCGAAAUUUCUACGACCUAACAAUGUCGACAUCUAUUUCUCUAGGUUUACCUUUCUUCCUCUGUAAAUGUGAUUUUCUAUUCUUCUGCAGUAAUUUAGGGAAAGAAGUGAUAUGGGUUCACGAUUGAGAACAAUUUAUCUUUAUUGGUAUGAGAUAUUUUGGGUUUUGGGUUUAUUCCCAAAAGUGGAAAAUAUCAUAUUAGGGAAUAAUGACCUUCCCUUACCUCCGUUACUGCUGCUAGUGCUCCAUUGGAGGCUCUGAUGUAAGUUUCAUUACUCAACUUUACUUUCUAGGAUUACCGGUGGAAAUAAGAUGUGCCCUUGAUAUGUUUUUUUCUGAUCAACGGCAGGGUACAUAGUACGGCUUUCUUCACUAAAGAUUCUGUAUUUUAAUCAACUUUGCUUUUGUUGUUCAGUUUAGAUUAGAAGGGUAUAGUGCUUGAAAUGGCCAAGCGGGAUGCAUAUUUAUUCAAUGGUUGCUAAUCAUUUCAGAACUGCCUUGCUGACACACAUAACGUUAAGAGGUUUUUGAUUUUGAUGCAUUACUCGUGAAUUUGAUUCUUCAGGAAUGUUACGGGGGACUGCAAGAUUGAAGUUAAAAUAAAGUUAAGGGUCAUUAUAAUAUAGGAGGACCAUUGUUUGUAGAAUAGCUUUCACUUCAGAAUUAAGAAAGUACGUACGGUAUGUGGUAAUGAAUAGAGGAUGAAUGAGCACCAUUAACUCAUUAUACUAUUUGGUAUUUGCAUUCUAAACCCAUGAAAAAUAAUUGUUUUUAUUUCAUUUAUUUAAUGUAAUUUGCUUCAUAAAAUUGAUCUUUUUGUUGGUAGCAGGUUGAGCUUGAAGCUUGAAUCUCGAAGGAUAUUGUUAGGAAUGAUUUUCAAUGAGAAACUAUCUUGAGUUGGGUUGGUUCCUUUUUAACUGCCAUCGUUUCUUUUGGUUUGAGGCAAGUUCGCCAAUCCAAGUUUGGAAAAGGUGAAGUUUAUGAGUGAGAGGUUCUUUCAAAACAGAUCUUGAGGCUGACUGUUCUUCUUUGAAAUCUUUGUUACUGUACUCAAAAUAUGAAGGCAUGAUGAUAGAAUAGUCAAGUAAAGUGCCACCUGUUAGAUUUCAAGAGCUCGAUCAUAUUCUUGGUUGGAUUCAAAAUCCAUUUCUGUUGGGUGGUAACUUUAAACAUGAAAUUUUGAGGAUUCAUCAUAAGUGUUUUAGAAAAGCACCUCAAGGCUCGAUCCAAAUGAGAUGUCCAAUAAUUAUUAAGAGAAGCCAUAUUUGGAAAUGGAUAUCCAUAGGUUUGCUUUGAGCAAAAACAUUGGUAGAUUAUUCCGAGCAUACUGUAGAUGAGACAAUUAUGCUUUGAGAAGAUGAACAAUGAAAGGCUGCAUGUAAUCAAUGGAGGUGUGGUAAGUAUUAGGAAAAUUUUCUCUAUGACAUCUUUUUGUGUUGGGCAUCUUUUAAAAUUAAAAGUUAAAAUGACGUAUUAGACAUUUCGAAGACCUAUUAGGUGUAGAACAAAAUAGACAUAAAGUUGAAAGUAAACGUACUAAACUCGGGAAUUGAAUAUUUUGUCAUUGAAAUUUCAAUGGAAUAAAAAUAAAAAUGAUAAAGAUAACAGGGAUGUAAACGUGUAAAUGAUAUUAAAUAAUAUAGAAAAGGAUGAGAAGGACUAGUUAGGAAAUCGAAUGCAGAAUAUAUACACAUCAUUUAUGUGUAUAUAUAUCCUGGACAAGACAAGAAGGACAAGAAGGAGAACUAUUGAAGUUGGCCUCUUGUCAAGUCCUUCGUGGCUGUACCAUCACAGGCCUUUUAGGCACUAUUUUGUGGCCCAAACUAUUGAACAAAUUAAAUAAAAAGAGAACAAUGAUGCUUAUAAUUUUAUAACACAAAUUAUAAUUAUUAAUCAUCUCAGUUGGUAAAAAGAGAAGAAAAAAAGUGAAUUAAUUAAUUACUAUAUCAUUAUGAAGCGAUUAAGUAAGUAGUGAGUGGCUGGGAGCGGUCGAGUGAGAAGGGAGAGAUUAAUGAUUAAAGUUGAUGAUAUGAUAAUAAUAAUGUUAGAGUUUAAUUAAGUGACAUUAAUAUUGAAUAAUAUAUAAUUUAGUUGGAAAGGGAAGAGAACUUUUUUUUAAUUUUUUUUUUUUUUUAAAUAGUAAAACUUUUGGGAAAAGUAGUUUUGUGGGGUGGGGUGGUACGUAUCACCUUUACAUUAACUUAAGCCUGUCAUUUCAAAAUUGGACUAACUUUUUUUUCCCCUUUAAAUCGUAAGCUUUAAGCCUCUGUAUGCACUUUUUUUCUGUAAGUAUUUUUAUUAUUUAGUGUCAAGAAAUACAAAUAUGGUUUUGUGGUUAUUGCUUUAACUCACAUGGCCACGUAGAGGGACCAAAGAUGCUUAUUUUGAAGACUCAAAAGCAUAAAUGAGCACCCCUUUUGAGUAGAUAAUGCCAUAUUUUGCUUUUAAAUAUCAACUUUUUUUCUCGCAUACUGCCCCCUUUGCUUUUCCCCCCCUCCUUUAACUAAACCAAUACCCAACCAACCAUAAUUUCAAUCAAAUCUAUACACACACACAAACAUAUAUGUGCAUUUCUAUUAUAGUUAUUAUUAAUUAUCUCCUAUGAAAGAAAAUAUAUUCAAAAGGACCCAUGAUAUCUAAAUAAACUAUAUAUUCACUUUGAAGCUAAACUUUGAUUUGGGAAGUAUAUAUAUAUAGAUUUAGCUUUUGUUUUAGUUACUCUUUGAAAGUUAAAAAAUGGAGACAGAAAGACAUGGGAGUUAGGGUGCAUAUGAAGCAAAUGCAUUUAUUCUCUUCUUCUUCUUCUUCUUCUUCCUUCCUUCUUUCUUUCUUUCUUUCUUUCUUUCUUUUCUUUACUUUUUUUUUCAAUAUUCAAACACUCCUUUUGGAGCAUUUUAAACCCCAUAGAAUGCUUUCUGUUGUUCAAAUUAUUGGGUGCUCUUUGUAUGUCUUUUUAGGACAACAAAGAUGGAUACUAUAACUAAACUUUUUGACCAAGGGAUCACACUUAGCUUCAAACUCAAAAGCAUUUUUAAAUAUUUAUGUACAGUUAUGGCACAAGUUCUUGCAUUUGGACUUGGACUACAUUUUUACCUUUUUUUUUUAAAGAAAAAUUUGUUUUUGAGUCCCUACAAACAAUAUGGAUUCAAGGUUCUAUAGUUCUUUUUGCAAUUAUUAUAAUCACUCCCAACCUUUUUUUUUCACUUCACCAACUGAUCUUCUUUUCCUCUCUGAAAACCUAAUUCUUUCUUUUCUUUUGGCUUCAAAUGGUAAUUAGUCACCAAGAUUUAGUUGUUGAGUUUGUGUAAAUUGAACCAUUAAUUAAUUUUUUUCGGAAAAAAAGUUAAAUAUCAUCCACUCUUUGGUGUACGAAGUCUUUUCUCUCUCUUUUUUAAUUGGGAUGCAUUUACUGUAUGAUCACUUGAUUAAUUGAAAAACUUUUCUUCUAGCCUCUCUAUUUGUAUUUUUAUCUAACUUUGAUUUCAUCUCUAGCUCUCCCUUUGUAUAUACUUUUUUGAAUCCAUGCAUCACUUUGAAAAUGAGGCGAGAUGAGUGUUUUGAAUAUGAGUCAAUCUAGUUGAGAUAUCUAUGCAUAGAUGUGUCUACUAAUCCCUUCAACCUUCAACCUUCAUUAUUUUGUUAAAAAUGUUAAAUUAAAUAAAAAAUAGACAUACUCGAGUACUCUCAUUUCCACACAUUCAAUAAAAUAAAAACUACAUUUUGUUACGAUGCAAGAAAUGAUGAAAAUCUCUUUAUUUAUUAUAUUAAAAGGUUUAACAUAUAGAAGCCUAAGGCUAUACUACCUCAAGUUAGUAACAAAAUAUGGUUUUAAAAAAGUGGUAAUAAAGUAAGAAUUUCAUGAACAGUUAGGAAAACUUUUUGAGGGAAUGCACCUAUAGAUAUGAAGCAAAGAGAAAAGGUUAAAAGGAAUUUAAAAUGUAAAUAACACAUUUUUUUGCAUGUUAAUUAUUAUGUCUUAUUGAUUAAAUAAUAAUAUCUUAAUUAAUAACCAUGAUCCUAAAGAAAUCAAACAUCGAUCUCAUGCAUAGGUGACUGUGAAGUCUCUUUAGAUCGGCACCCUCUUUAAUCUUUAUUCCAUGAUUGUUUGAACAUUUUCUCUUUUUCUUUUCUUUUCUUUUUUUUUUUCCUUUUUUUUCUUUUACAUGAAAUCUACUUUUUUUUUUCUUCCUAAUUCUCUAUCAAAUAGUUUUUUUUUUGUGUCAAAAAAAUGAGAAAAAAAAGAGAGAAAAAAGAAAAAGGUUAAAGUUGAAGAUGAUUGAGGAAUGAAAAAACAGAUCUCUCUCGUUUGUUGUGUUGGAGAAAUUACUAUAUAUUUCUUAGCAAUGGCGGAUGGCAAAAGAGAAAACUUCUUUUCUUUUUCUUUUGUUUUGUUUUGUUUUGCUUUCUUUCUUUUCUUUUUCGCUUUUAUUUUUUUUCCUGUCUUGAUCUAGAUGGGGUUAGUAAUUCAAAAAGAAAAAUUCUAAUACCAUCCAAAGAAUUUCGAUGUUUGUGGCUUUUAAUGGAUCCAUAUGUUGAUAGAGGUAAUCGUAACUUUAUUCUUUUUCAAUGGCUUCAUGUAUAAUAUAAUGAAAGAAGCAAUAAUUUCAAUUUUGAAAUACUAUGAUAUCUGUGUUAACAUGCAGGUGUUGCUUAAAUUGGAUACUAUGGUGUAAUAAUAUAUUAGCCAUUUAUAUUAUGCAAGCUAAACUAAUAAUGAUAGAGUAAUGUCAGGUAACAUAUGGUAUAUGUACCUAAAUAUUAUAUUUUACACAAGUAUUGAUUAAUUAAUACGUGGGGUGAAGAAAACGAGCUUCAAGUUUGAUAGGGUAAAGAUUAGGUCACUUGAGCCUCACUUUUGACUCUAUCUAUAGAUUUCUAUUUUAAAAGUAAUAUAUAGACAUGAAAAAAAAGAGUAAUUAAGUAAGAUCAGUUUUAUUUUUGGGAAAACAUUUGCAAUCUCACACCGGGAUGAUCUACCAAAACAAACCUCUUCAACAAUUACUCAACUUCUAUAAUUGCACAAUACCUGAGUGUUUUUUACUAGUAUUUUGUAUGGUUUAUAGUCUUGACUUAUCUGUAGCCUUCCCGUAAACUUGAACUAUUUCUCCGAGUUCUAUAUUGGAUAUAUUUAUUGGAGAUGAUGAGGGUGCUAAGAGGGUGUCCACCUAGUGGGGAUGCUUGGGUACGCCUACUAACCUAUCCAUUAUAAUUUUCUAAAAAUUAAGUAAGCUAAGUUUAAAAGAAAAAAAACAAGACCAUUGACGAAACUUUAAAGUUUUCACCUAGUUUCAUACUUGAAGAUCCAUUCACUUCAAAUCCUCGUUCCUCUACUCUAUUCAUUUAUUCAUGAAAUAUUGUCUUGCAAUCAUUUAGUAAAAAUAAAAGUCAAGGGAUUUGUAGGCGAAUCUAGAUAUGUAAAUUAGGUUGAGUUGUGCAAUUUGUUGGAAAAAUGGAUAAUCUAAAUAUAUGAACAAUAGGAUGAUAUUGUGAUAUAAACUCUCGUGGUUUUACUUUUAAUUUUACCGUAAAAGAUCUAAUACCAUUUGUCAUUUUCUAUAAUGAUCAUUAUUUUACUUAUUCAUUUGUGUGACUUUGAUGGUAUUAUGCAUCCAGGUAUCUUAAUAUUUAAAUAUAUAAUAGUAAUUUUGUUUGUUCCCAUCUGGAAAGAUCAGAGGAUUGAAAGAAGGAAAAGAGAAACAAAUGAGUGACAUCAUAUUCACACAUACACACUUAACAACAAAAGACAGAUGAAGUGAUUUUCAACCUUCUGUUUAUUUAAUUCUCUUCUGAGAGAUAGAGUUGCAUCUUUUUAAAUUUUAUACUUGAAAAAAAACCAAAUAAAUUGUAACCUUGCAAAACUUUGUUUCACUCAUCUCUAUAUACUUCAUUGAAUUCCUACGGCUUAAAUUUUUCUUAAACAAAUCUCAGACAUACAAGUCAAUCAAUUUAGUUACAAGAUAGGGGUGUAAUUUCAACGAACUGUAAGCCCCUCUAUAAUCCUACUUGUAUCAUGUUUAGUUAGAAAACUUUUCCUUCGCCCCUGAACUUCUACUUUCUGCUUUCUUGAAAGAUUCAUCACGUCUCCUACUUGUAUUAUCAAUGAAGCUCUUUUGAUUCUUGGCACAUGAUAAAAGUACAAGAAGUGUGAGGUAUAUUUAAUAUGGUGAUGAGAAUGAUGAAGUUGCUACGGAUGUAUAAAUCUAAUUUGAGAUAUUUGGGUACAUGCAAAUGGUGUUUUUGAUUAAAGAAGUUAUAUAUAAAGAAAUAAAAGUGAAAUAUUUUAGAAAAUGAGGUGAGACUCAAAAUGGUUAUAAUUAGAAACAGUAAUAAUGAAAGAUGUAGGUAGGAAUUAGGAUUUAUAUAUGCAUAUAUAAUUAAAAAAAAAUAGGAGAGAGAGAAAGGGGGAGAAGUAAAGUAAGCAGCUUUUAAGAAAGAAUAGAGAAUGAAGAAUGAAGGAAGGGAAUUUUGGGGGUGCGUUCUUUGAAUUAAAAAAUAAAUAAUAUAAAGGUUUAAACAAAAAAGAAUUAAGGGAUUGGAUUGGAAUGGGAAUGCAUCAAAUGGUUUCAAUUCAAAGCCCUCACUCCAACAUGUCUUUGAUUCCCAAUGAUCAAUAAUAAAUAAACAAUAAUACUAAUAUACAUUACACACACACACACUUCCCUAUUCUCUCUUUUCAGGCCAUCGGUGUUUGUGGAUACUCUUCCCUUUCCUUUCAUUUCAUUUCAAAUCAAAUCAUAUCAAACCCUCUCUCUCUCCCAAUCAAUUUUUAUGGUUUUAAUUUAAUGCUUUUUAUUUGUUUUCCUAAAACAAUAAUACUAGGUUAAAUCAUAUAUAUAUAUGUUAUCUAUGCUGUGGACUAAUAGGGUUUUAUUCAUUCAACCCUAUUGUUUAAUACUUUUCACUAUAUUUAAAUAUAAUCCAUCCAUCCAUCCAUCCAUCUAUAUCAUUUAAUUUAUUCUAUUUUACGUACUAUAUGCACUAACUUUAAUUUUGCAUUAUGGGAAGAUCACAUCACUUGUAUAUACGACUCUUCUUCUUUCGUGCAACCAAUAAUCUACUCUUUCUUGUAAUUAUAAGAUGUGCUUAAUUCUGCUCUUUUGUUAAAUUGUAAGACUUUUCUCUCACCUAUAUAUCGUUUGUUGUAUUAUCAACUUCUUAAACUAUAUUUUCUUUUUGUUGAUUACUCUACGACUUUUUUAGUAUUAGAUGUGUAAUGAGAGCGUUAGAAAUGUGUUAACCUUGUCAUUCUAUCAUGAUGCAUUCACUAAUUCCUCCACAACCAUAUUUCUAAAAAAAAUAAUAUUUACAAAUAUAAUAAUUAAAUUUAAAAUAAUUAAACAUAUAACAACAUUUUAAAUUUUUUGCAAAUAUAGCAAAAUCUGUUAAAAUUUAUUAAUAAUAGAAGUAUAUCACUAAUUGCAUGUUGUAAAUAUUAGUCUAUUACAAGAGUCUAUAUAGAAGUUUAUCAUUGAUAGAUUUUACUAUAUUUAUAAUUUUUUAAGAAUGUUGCUAUAUACAUAAUUAUUAUUCUUAAGAUUGUCUCCAAUUAUAAUUACUCUCUCAAAAAAUUAUUUUACAUCAUGAAACCCAACUAUGCGAAGUUAAUUUUUUUUAAUCACUGUUUGAUGUACGCGUUUCUCAAAUAUGUCUUAACACAAUAGGAUUAUUUUUCUAGAAACAAAAGAAAAGUAAAGUUGAUUUAGGUUAUAUGCUGUCUGCCCUAAAAUUGUUGUAGUUUUUUUUAGAGUUCUAAUUCAAUGAAUGAAUCCCCACUUACCCUUAUUAAAAAAAAAAAGGAACAUAUACUAACAAACAAAAACCAAAAAAAGAGUAUAUCCCAAUGGUAGUUAGUCUUUGUAAAAUAGUGUGGGGGAAAAAAAGAGAUAUAGAGUGUACAUAUAAUUAUAAAAUAUGAGAUUGUUAGAAAGAUUUGUUGUCCACUUGGAAAAAAAAUGAAGAGAGUAUAUUGAUUUUGAUGUUAGUGCCCUUCCUAUGAAUAUACAAAUACCUUAACAAAAAACACCCAUUUAUAUUUAUCCUUUUAGUGUAUUUGUAGAGAGAAAGAGAGAAAAAACGAAAAGCAAAAACAAAGGCAAAGGCAAAGCUGAGUUGCCUUUGAUACUGCUGCCAUUCCCUUAGCCUCUCUUGUUUAAUUGUCAGCACAUGCAUUCCACUUUCCCACUACAAAUAAAUCCCCCUUUCAACCCACAAAUUUUUUACCCUCACUUACAAGAAAAGCAUUUAUAAUUACUAUAAUUUCUUCUAUACUCUUCUUCUUCUUCUUCUUCUUCUUCUUCUUCUUCUUCUUCUUCUUUUUCUUCUUCUUCUUGAUCUUCUUCAUAUCCAAAAUCCAAAUACUAUUAUCAAUCAUGAGAACAGGUGGUUGCACAGUUCAACAAGCUCUUACUUGUGAAGCUUUAAAUGUUGUAAAACAAGCUGUUAUUUUAGCUAAACGUCGUGGCCAUGCUCAAGUCACUCCUCUUCAUGUUGCUAGCACUAUGCUUUCUCCUCCUACUGGCCUUCUUCGUACUGCUUGUCUUCAAUCUCAUUCUCAUCCUCUUCAAUGUAAAGCUUUAGAACUUUGUUUUAAUGUCGCUUUAAAUCGUCUUCCUGCUUCUAAUUCUACUCCUCCUAUUUUAACCCCUUCAUCUCAUCACCACCACCAUCAAUCUCAUCCUUCAAUCUCUAAUGCUCUCGUUGCUGCUUUUAAACGUGCUCAAGCUCAUCAACGUCGUGGAUCUAUUGAAAACCAACAACAACCGCUUCUAGCCGUUAAAAUCGAGUUAGAACAACUCAUUAUUUCCAUUUUGGAUGACCCUAGUGUUAGUCGUGUUAUGAGAGAAGCUCGUUUCUCUAGUACACAAGUCAAAACUAAAGUAGAACAAGCUAUUUCUAUUGAACACAAUACGACGCCCGCGAGUAAUAACAACGAUGACAACAGCAACAACAAUACCACUCUUCUGGGUGGUGCCACGACAACGUCUGGUCGAGCGAGGGAGGAGGAUAUUGCAGCAGUGAUUAACGAGUUGGCGGAGAUGAAGAAGAGGAGCUUAGUGGUUGUAGGGGAGUGUGUGGGAAAUGUUGAAUGUGUGGUGGAGGCAGCCAUUGGGAGGGUUGAGAAAAAGGAAGUGCCUGAAUGUUUGAAGGAAGUGAAGUUUAUUAAUCUUUCAAUUUCAUCAUUUCGGGAUAGGUCAAGAAUUGAAGUGGAUGAGAAAGUUAUGGAGUUAAAGAGUUUGAUAAGGAGUAAUUAUUGUAUAGGGAAAGGGGUGAUUUUGUAUGUUGGGGAUAUUAAAUGGAGUAUAGAUUAUAGAGAGAAUUAUUAUUAUCAUUCAAGUAAUCAAAGAAGAGGGUAUUAUUGUCCAGUGGAGCAUAUGAUUAUGGAAUUAGGGAAAUUAGUAUAUGGGAAUUAUGAUCAACAAAUUCAUCAACCAAAAGGAGGAGGAGUUAAUGUUUGGAUAAUGGGAAUUGCAACAUUCCAAACUUAUAUGAGAUGCAAAACUGGAAAUCCAUCUCUUGAAACUUUAUUGGCUAUUCAUCCUCUUACAAUUCCAACAGGCAGCUUCAGGUUGAGUCUCAUCACUGACAGGUUAGACAAAAUUAUAAUUUAAUUUUGGUAAAGUCAUGUUUUUUUUUUGUUAUAUCACUAUAUAUUCUCUCUUUUCUUUUUCUUUCAUAAUUUCACUAUUUCAAUAUCUUUUUUUUCCUUCUUCCAAAGCUAGCUCUCAUAUUCAUAGCCCCUUUACUUUGAAUUCAAGGGGGAAAAUGAAAAAAAAAAAAAAAAAAAAAAGAAGAGGAAUAUUAGAAUAAAAAGAAAGGUGUGGAAAAACAAUAAAGGUUGUUUUAUUUUGAUUUUCCUUUUGAGAAUUUUAUAAUAUUUGUUUUUGUUUUGAGCACUUAUUCCAAAUUCCCAUAAAAAAAAAAAAAGUCAUCUUUGGAAAUGGGCCAAACCCCAAAUAUGAAAUAUUUUUGUUUGAUACCUAGUUUUAAUUGGUGGUUUAUUUAUUUAUUUAAAUUUCUUGUAGUGACAUUAUUCAAAGCCAGUCCUUGGAAGAGAAAAGGCAAGAGAUUGUGUUAGAAGAGGAAAAGGAGCUGAAUUGUUGUGGUGAAUGUUCAGCAAAGUUUGAGAUAGAAGCAAGAAGCUUACAAAAUUAUUCAAAUAAUAAUAGUGAAUCAACAACCUCUUCAACUCCUUUACCUGCAUGGCUUCAACAAUACAAAAAUGAGCAGAAAGCAGUGGGAGAAAAUGACCAGGUCUUCUUUAAUUUCAUUAUAUAUAUCUUUGUAUAAACACUUUAAAUCAUAAUUACACUAUUUAAAAAUGAGUCCCACAUGAAAUUCCAAAAAAAAAAAAAAAAAUCAAAACUCUUGACAUCUAUUCAAUAAUGGGAACUCAUGAUAAUUGGCUAAAUAACUAUACUAUUCUUUCUCAUAAUAUGUUUUAUGUCAGUGGAACAAUAGUCAUGAUAUGAUUUUUUGAAAAAAAAAAAAAAGGGAAAUUUGUGGAAUUCCACUUUGUAUCUCAAAAAUUUGAAUCCACGAAAAUUAAAAAUUUCCAAUAAAUAGAGAGAAAAAAAAGCUCUUGUUUGUAACUAGGAAACUUUUACAUAUACAUAUAUAUAAAUAUCUAUGUAUAUAAAUAGGGAAUUAUUCCAUUAUUAACCCCUCCACUAUCGUUAAGUAUGAACUCAUUUUUUGCCAUAUAAUAAAUGGAAAUCAGACGUGGAAAAAGAUUUUUCCUUUUUCCAAUUGAAUUAAAAAGUUGUUUGGAAUAUUUCAUCCUCUCGAAAAGUAUGAGAUAAAUUUCCCAAUCAAAAAAGAAAGCCAAGAGGGAUUUUGUAUCUUUACAAGAUAAUGUAAAUUCGAUAAUAAUAAUUUUUGUAGAUAUUUUUAUUUGUUUAUUUGACAUUAUCUCUUAAGUUGUUUCUUAUUUUGUAACAGACGAAGUGUGUCACAGUCAGAGAGCUUUACAAAAAGUGGAACUCCAUAUGCAAUUCAAUCCACAAGAUCAAUUCAAAUAACAACAACAGUAUUUCUUGUUCUGAUAAAAGUUUAUCGUUCUCUUGUAUUCUUCCAAAUUCAUCAUCUUCAGCAUCGGGGUUUUCGUACGAUCAUCAUCAUCAUCAUAAUAAUAAUCACUACGAUUUCUUACGGAACACCCAAAAAGAGAAGCUUCAAGAGGAUCAUCUUGGCCAUUUUUAUGAGGGAAAUGUGGAGCCAAAGACAUUGAUGGUUUUGAGUAGUAAUUAUAACAAUAAUAAUAAUCAUGGUUCAACACCUUCUUCGGGAUCAUCAGGAAGUGAUGUCGUUUUGGAGGGUGAAUAUGUGAGUAGGUUCAAGGAGUUGAACUCUGAAAAUUUCAAGAGGCUUUGCAAUGCUUUGGAGAAGAAGGUGCCAUGGCAGAAGAAUGUGGUUGGUGAUAUUGCAAGUGCAGUUCUUCAAUGUAGGUCUGGGAUGGGUAGGAGAAAAGGGAAGAUGGGCCAUGGAGAUUUCAAGGAAGAAACUUGGUUGCUUUUUCAAGGUAAUCUAAAUACUUACAAUUAUCGACUUCAAUGGUUGUUUUAUUCUAUUUGGAUGUUUUUGUGUUGUGAAGUUGAGGGUUUAGUGUCUUUAGACCAUACAUGUGUGUUUAUGUGGGUUUGAUUUUAUUUUUAAGUUUCCUUAAAACUUUUUGAAGGGAUGUUUUCGUUUAGAUUUGUAACUUCAAAAGUUUUUGUUUGUCUCUUUUUUGUAUUUUAAAAAAAUAGUAACAAAUAUGAUUUAUCAAAAUAAUUUUUAAUUUUGCGUUUAAACAGGUUAGUCAUUUUGUUUUUAUUUAAAACUGUACUCAAAAUCAGUUGAUUAGAUGAUCAUUAGAAAAAAAGUUUAAUGUCAAUUGUUGGGAAUGUGUUAAAUUUAAUUAUGACCUAACUUAUAUACUUAUUAUAUGUUUUCAAAUUUGACUUCAAUGAAGAGGGUUGGGUUAUAUAUGAACUCUCUAGUUCUACUAAAACUAUAUUAUCUUAUAUUCUUCUCUAUCGAUAAAUUUUUUCUCCCUUUAUUUGUGGACUGGAUGAAACUUUCACACUAUUAGAAAUUUGUUUUUCGCUUUAUUUAUUUCUCAAUAAUUUCUCUUUUCUCUACAUUUGAACUAUGAUGUAAGAUAAAAUUAAAUAGACUAAUAAAUUAAUGGAUUGAAUAACAGGCAACGACCUAAGAGGAAAAGAGAAGGUGGCAGAAGAGCUAGCUAGAGUAAUAUUUGGGUCAGCAACAUCAAAUUUGGUAUCCAUAACAUUAAGCAGCUUCUCGUCCACAAGAUCCGCAGAUUCAACGGAAGAUAAUUGUAGAAACAAAAGAUCAAGAGAUGAACAAAGUUGCAGCUACUUAGAGCGAUUUGCUGAGGCAGUUUCCAUAAACCCCCAUAGAGUAUUUUUGGUUGAAGAUGUUGAGCAAGCUGAUUAUUCUUCACAAAUGGGUUUCAAAAGAGCAAUAGAAGGAGGAAGAAUCACAAACUCUGAUGGCCAACAAGUUUCUUUGGCUGAUUCCAUUGUUAUUCUUAGCUGUGAAAGCUUCAGUGCAAGAUCAAGAGCUUGCUCUCCUCCUAUAAAAAAACAACAAGAAAAUGAACAAGAACAAGAACAAAAUAAAGGGGAGGAAGAACAAGAACAGAAACGUGAAGAAGAAGAAACGGCCCCUUGUUUGGCUUUGGAUUUGAAUAUUUCCAUUGAUGAUGAUGAAGAUAGAGCUGCAAAUGAUCAAUCAAUUGAUGAUGUUGGCCUUCUUGAUUCAGUUGAUAGACGAAUUAUUUUCCAAAUUCAAGAACUAUGAGAGUAGAAAUAUAUGUAAAAAAGGAAAACAAACGAGUAAAAACGUUUGGUGUAGAUUGUUUUGCUUGUAGUAAUUUUUUCUUUAUAUAUAUAUAUUUUGUUUUUCAUAUAGUUCUUUAACAACGCUUUGAUCUUUAGAUUCCUCUAAGAUAUAUGUAGAUAUAUAUAAGUAUGUGUGUGUCUACGUUAUUUUCAUAUUUGGAUAAUAGCUAGAAAAAAAAUGGUACCUCCUUACGUCGAGAAAUAUAAUUAUUUAAUAAAGUCAUAAUGUGGUUGACAGUUUUGCAUAUUAUUGGAUAUACGAGAAAGAAAUUAUAGAAAUAUCUAGAUCAAUUUUGUAUUUAAUAAUUUUUUUCUUAAAAAAAGAAGGUACUAGAAGAUAUGGAUUACAUAAUAGGUACAUCUAAUUAUCUCAAAUAAGAAAACGUUCAUAGCACACAACACCCUCGAACCUAGAGGAGAUGCAUAAUUAUAAUCACGAAUUUAGAUGUUGUAUCUAGAAGUUGAUCUUAAAAUCUCCAUCCAAACAUUUGAUAUAUAUUAUAGACGAUAUAUCAAUAAAAUAUAGAGAUCAACAAAGAUUUCGAUUAAUGGAUGCGAAAGUUAGAUAACCACUUCAAAAGUACUAGUGUUGCUAUUUUUUAUAGAAAAGAAUAAAAAUUUCGACAAAUCAUUAAAUUUAUAAAAGUUAUAUAUCAUCUUUGGAUGUUUAUAUUGUUUUCACGUCUAACUAUAGUUAUAUAUCUUGUAAUAUCGAAAAGCCUUAUAGCCAAUGUUGGGUGGAUUGGCUUUCUUUUUGGAAUACCAAAUCUGUCUAAUGUUUCUUCUAGUAUUGCACUUCACUAGAAAGCUUUCCUCUCUACCUUUUUAAAAAGCUCUCUCUUUUACACUAAGCUAUGAAUUUGAUCACUACCUUAAACUUUCUUUUGAAUUAAUGCAACCUACAAGAACCAGAACAUGAGUGGGAAGGAUGAGUCAAUCUACUUAAAACAUCUCUGUGCACCUCUUGAUCCCACUUUCUCUUAGUAUUUUGUUAAGAAAAAAAGCAAUACAUCUUAUAAUUAGUAUCCAUACCCAUAUAUUUAGAUUAGUUGAUUGAAUAUGGUUUUGAUGUUUUAUGUGUAUUCAUAAAAAGAUAUAGAAGAUAUCAAUAUAACAGGAGUCUCUCUCUCUCUCUUUCAAACUGUAAUUGAUCGAAAACGAAAUGGAAUCAAAUCCUUGUUUUGGAGAGUGGUACAGAAACAAACCAUGGGUUGAGAUUUGUAAUUCGUUUUUGUUAUAUAUAUAUAUAUAUAUAUUUAGUUGGAAAAAAACAAUGAUAUAUAUAUAUAUAUAUAUAUAUAUAUAUAUAUAUAUAUAUAUAUAUAUAUAUAUAUAUAUAUAUAAUAUAUAUAUAUAUAUUCUUUUCAAUAUCUCCAUUUAUGCAUAAAGGGGUGUUGGAAAGCCAUUUGGUUUCAGAUUCUUUUUACUUCAAUUGGUAUGAUAUGGUUUCUUUAUAAAAUCACAUAUUGCUAAUGGUGGAAUAUAAUAUAAGAAUUCAUUAUCAAAUAAUAUAAAGGGAAAAAGUCUUCUUUCAACUUGGUUCCAUUGAGUAGGUUUUGUAUCAAUUUUAACUGUAUGUCAUGCAUUGAAUUUGACAGUACAUGUGAGUUACAUUAAACAUCCAUCAACGUCAAAAUGUUUGUAAAAUUAAGAGAUUUCGAUAUAUCAAUUAACAUCGAUAUUUUAGAACUUGAUUAAAACAUAAAACUUCACAAAAUUCUCACGAUAAAUCUAUCGUACUACCAUUAUGUGUUAAUAGUCAAAUAAUUUUUCUAUUUGACAAUUAACUGUAUUUUAAUUAUAACAAUAACUGUUAAGCUUGAUUGUGUUCAUGGUCUAUGAUUGUGUUUAUAGUCAAAUAAAUUUAAAACUAUAAUUUUAACUUAAAAUUUUUAUUUUCAUUUUAGUUGGUGAGAAAAUCGGUGUAAAAUUAGGAUCACAUAUAGUUUUUCUUAAUUUUUUUUAAUCUCAAAAGUAUUCUUGAAACUGUUGCAUAGUUGAGAACUAUUUUUUAAAAUUUUUUAAAAUUUUUUUUAAUGAUUUUCGUUCUAAGGAUAUUUUUAACCGUUUUCAAAAUUUAAAUACGUUAAUAAAACUUUUAAAAGUUUAGGGGUAUUUUUUACACAAAUAUUAAAUUUGAUGGGACAUUUUCUAUUUGUAAUUUAGUCUUUCCAUGAACAUCAACAUGUUCAUAAAAGUUAAGUAUCCAGUUUUUUUUUAUCAACAUCCAUGUUUCAAACUUUGCUUAUACUACAAUAAAAUAAAAACAAUGUAAAAGCGAUGAGAAAUUGGUCAUUAGAUGAACGAAACAAAACUUGUAACUUCUCUCUUCUUUUUUUUCUAAAUUGAUAUACAAGACAAAAAGGAUUAGGAGGUGCAUCAAAAUAUGUUAACUAGAUUGACAUACCUAGUACACAACCUCACCAUGUCUCAAAGACCAAAAUUACAUAGAUAAGAAAGUUGUACAACGAGAGCCCAAUGUUUACAAAAGAAAGCAAUACAAAAUUACAGAAAUACGGGAGAUUGAGAAAGAUGUAAUAAGAUAUCAAAUUUUCAAAUACUUAGAAAGUUAUUGAGUAUUUUCAAGUUUUUAAGUACAAUUGGAUGGCAAAGAAUGGAACUUCUUUCUACCGUUAAUUAAACUUACUUGAGCGAGUUUUUCAAUUUUGAGUAUCUAAAUCAUUUGUAAAUAAUAUUUCAUUAUAGAAAAUAUUGUUUUUUUGUGGAUGAGGGUUGAAGUUUUUAAUUUUUACAUCUAGUAAAUCAUAAAUUUAUUCAAUAUUUUAAAACUAAACUUGCAAUUCUAAUAAACGUAAAUAAUGUCCUACAAAAUUGGAUCUACCAUCAAACAGAUUAAAGAAAGAGAUUGAGAAGACUGACAAUGAAUCCUCCCAUUGAACAUUGCGAAGAAAAAGAAUAAAAGUGUACUCUCAAAAGGAGUUUAGAGCAUUCUCUACCACUACAAACUCCACUUUUCUCUUUCUCAUUUAAAAGUUUGUACUAUGAAUCCUCCAAUUGAACUCCAAAACCACAUAUCUUCUUCAUUCAAAAUUCUCCACUUAACUAAAGUAUUACUUUCUUUUUAACCUGUUAUUCUAAUAUAUCUACUUUCAAAAUAUAUAAAGUUAAAAAGUUUAUUUGAAAUGAUUCAUGUUUUCAAGCACUCGAAGAGUCGUUACAAACUCUUCGAACUCUUCUUUUUAAAGAGAGUGCGACACAAGAAACUUCUCAAGCGACUAUACAACUAAUUAGUAGUGAGUACAUAGAGUUCUUGUUCAAAAAAGACAAGAACAUGAAGGAUGAAAUUGUUAUUUUGUUGGCACACCAAAAUUUGAGGUCGUGAUGUUGAAAUCCACUUAAAUAAAGGAAGGUUUUCAUGUGUAUAAUCAAUGGCAAUUGCGCUUCUUCCAAAAGAAUCAAAACCAUUUUAUAAGCAUCUGUCAAAGCCCUCGUUGUCUGAAUUUUUGUUAACAUCACAAACUGUUUGAUAUGGCUUUCAACUUUAUUCUUCUCCCCUUUUUAAUUUGUACUCACCAACUUAGCUUCAUUCCUAAAUUUUUGCCAGUUGUGUUCUCACUCCUUUUUCUUGUGCCUUAAAAGCAUCAAUAAUUGUUCUUUUAUAUAGUUAAAUUGCUUUUAUAUAUAUACAUACAUAGAGAUAUAUAACUUAAACUAAUAAUUUUGUUGGAUUAUAUUAUAUAUAUCCAUACUUUCUAAAUUCAAUAGGCACUAAAAUAUCUCAAUUCUCAAUUAGGUUAUAACAAUUUGUUAGCACAUUUCUCACGUAGUCUAGUUUCAUUUCAUUCAAAAAUUGUUAAGUAAGUUCAUACGAUGUUAUUCAAUAACUCAAAAUUGAUAUGAUGGAGAAGUGAUUUGAGGAGAGCCACACGGGAGGGAGAGGAAAAAUAAAUUGGAUUGAUGUUCAAAGAUACAUAAUUAUAGCUAGUUUUAUAAACGACAAAUUAUUUAAUAAAAUCGUUUAAAUCUAAUUGUUUCAUGAAAAUAGUUGAAUGGGGAUAGAAAAAGUUAAAAUAAUUAUGGAAUUUAUAUUUCAAAUUCUUAUUCAUGUUUCUUUAGUUUCAUUGCCGAAUAAAAAGUUACAUGUCUUUUUUCCUUUUUUUGGUUAGAUUUGCCUUAAAUAAACAAUUAUAAUAAAUAGAAAUGAGAUUUGAACCUCAACUUUUAAAAGAAAGAAUAUAUGUCAUUAUAAAUAUUCAUUUAAUUCUGCUCCAUUUACAACUCAAAUCCAACAACUUGAUCAAAUAAAAAAAGUAAAUUACACAAAUUAAUUUUAAAGUAUGAUUAAACAUAUUUAAUUUUUUUAAUAGUAAUAAUUGAGUUUUUAAACUUGUUAAAGUAUGAACACUUGAUCCUCAAAUUUAUAAUGGUUGAGCUUGUUAAAGUAUUAAUAUUGGACCCUCAAAUUUAUAAUAGUUGUAAAAGAGGUUGGAUGCAGAAGAAAAGAGAGAAAAAUGAAAGAAAAAAAUAUGAUGAUAUGUAUAUAUAAGGCGUAUUUGAAUAAAAUUGCAAAAUUCAUAGGAUACUUUCACAAUUUAUUCCAUAAAUACUAACCAAAGUCCAUUUUUACCUUUUUCUUUUUUCUUCUUUCGAGGAAAACAAGUCUUUUCUACCCAACCAAAAUCCCAUAGUUCAAAGUUUAAGCACUUUUUAAAAAAAGAUAAUUCUCACUAAAAAUAUAUUUUUAUACAAAAUUUUCUGUUCCUUCAAAAGUUAAUUUUGCUUAAAUAAAACUUUAUAAAUUUUAAAGUUUGGAGCAAAAAAUUAAUACAAUCUUAUUCAAUUGAAUACAAAAAUAAAUAUGGACACAUCAAUCUCUCAGAUAAUUGACGCAGCAGUAGGGUUUCGAUCAUGAACAGUAGAUUGAAAACUUGCAAAGCUCCCAAAAUGUAGUCAUGUCAAGUCAUUCAUCACAAUUUUCUAAACAAAUUUAGCGAAAAGAAAUGACAAUAAUAAUAAUAGUAAUAGUAAAGUGACAAAAAAAAUUCUAAUCGAAUAAUGAACGUGAAAUCCGGUGGCUUUCCAAUUAUAAUUAUUCCUUAUUGACAAAGUCAAGAGUAAUGGAUGCAUCAAUACAGCUAUUAUAUGUACUUUGAGGAAGUUAAUUUUAUUCUAAAUACAUUUUUUUCACCAAAAAAAAAAAAAAAAAAAGAAAGAAAAGAAAAGAAAGAAAGAAAAAGCAGACGUGGGUCUUUAAGAAAAAGAUUUAACUUUUAAAGAUUUUGCAAUAUAAAUUGUUCUAAAUAUGCUUGUGGUACGCAAAAGGCUAAAUAUUAUACUUUAUAUAUGUAUAACCUAUAUGUUAAAAUUUACCUUUUUUUUCAAUAAAAUAUCUAGGCCAUUGUACUUAUUUUAUACAUGUAUUAUGUAUAUUAGCUUGGUUCAAAAUAUAAUUAAUAAAUUCGAUAUUUGGAUUAGAAACACUUUUAGGACCGGUAAGUAAGUGUAUAGCAACAUUUUAAGUGUCAAUCUUAUAUAUUAAAGUUUGGUUGAAAAUAUAAUUAGUCUAUCACUUGCCGCCUUUGACUUUGAAAGGUUAUUUAAAUUUUGUUAUAAUAGCAAAUGUUUUUAUAUAGUGUGAUGUUAGUUAAUUUUUAGGUAUGAAUAUUAUUGUGUUUACUAUAUUCCUAAACUUAAAAUUUAUUGCUUGAUAUUAUAUGUAAAAGGUCUACAAAAUAAACAAAGAAAUUAAUGAUACGAAUAAACAUGACGAUACUAGAUAGGUAUGUUGACCUAGUUGAGAUGUUUGAAGGCACGUAAUCGAUGUUUAAGUUAUAUAUUUCUCUUCAAACCUGCACUCCUCUCUAUUUUUGGUUUAUUACUAUUGUUUUUCUAGAGAGAUAGAAGUUAGAAAUAAAUAUAUGAAGAAAACUUGAAGUAAUAAAGGAAGGGAAUAUAAAUAUGAAUAUCCUAUUCAAGAUGUUAUCAAGAAAUGAGUAAGUGGACAUAAUAUAUAUAUAGAUAUGAUUUGUAAUAGGAUAUUAAAUAGAUUAACUAGUUGCUUAAAAAGAUGAUUAACUAGGGUUAAUGGUUUGAAUGGCAAGCUUAAUUAGAAAAUAAAAUAAAAAAAGAUUUGAAUAAUAGAAAAGUUGGAAAAUAAUAAUAAAAAAAAUUUAAAAGCAAAGAAAAGAAAAGGGGAACGUUGGGAAUGCACAAAGUGAAGAAGAUUAAGGUAUGAUCCAUAACGUAAGGGUUGUGCAAAGGGGAAGCAACUUUUACAACUUUAGAAGAGAGAAGCAAAAUCUUCCCUAAGAAAUAUCAAAAGAGAGCACUACUUUUCAUGGUGUUUUUUUUUUAUAUAUAUAAAAAAAGAAUAACUUUUUUCUCACUUUGAUUUUUGUAAACCCAACAUUCUCAUCUUUGAAAAGUUGGGUUGCAUAUAAAAAUUUAAUUAACUUGAAAAAAAUGCAAAUAAAUGUGUUUUUUUUCUUUUCAAAAAAAAAAAAAAAAAAAACCCACAUAGAUAAGCAUCUUCCUCCUUUAAAACCUUAAAGAUGUUGCUACUUUAGAAUCAUAAAAAGAUCAUUAUCUCUCCCAACUUUUUUUCUUUAAAAACCCUAAAGAAGAGAAUUUGUCGUUUGUGGCCUUUCAAAAAGAUUAAGGCUACUCGAAUAAAUCCACUAAGUAGAACACAUUGGUGGGGCUCUCUCUUUCUCUGUGCAUCUUAGACAUCUCCAAGACCAUAACCAAACCAUAAGGAGAUAAAUGCUCAAAUAUAUCUAUAAAUAAUAUAAGAUUAUAGAUUCUUAUUGCCAUCAAAUAUAUAAACCAAAGUGUGAUAUAGAGUAUAAAAUAGUUAUCGCCAAACAUAUACAGUAAUCUCAUUUGCAAUUUGGGAAGUUUUGUCUUUGACCUACUUUUUACAAAGCAAAUACCAAACCUCGAAUAGGAACUAAACUAGGGUUUCCUAUAAAUUUUAGCCAAACCUAAGCUUUUGGAUUAGACUUCUCAUAUUGAUGGUGAUUAUUUGAUUUGAAAUAUAGUUAGUUCGAAGUAUUACGAAAUGCAAAAUUACUCGUACAUGGUUUUCAUAAAUAUAGAAAUAAUAAGCCUUUAUUGCAAUGCAUAGGUGUCAAAUAUUCCCACUUGAUUUUUGUUUUGAUAUACAGUUAAUCUACUGAAAACGUACUUGUAUGAAUUUAUUCUGAUUUCUUAUUCGAAGAGUUAGUUGUGCAACUUUUUAAUUAAAGGAUUAGAGGCCUAGUUAAUUCUAAAUUUUAAUAUUGUGGAUUGCUCUAGAAUCAUGGUAAUUUAUUCCAUUUAUAUAUAUAUAUAUAUAUAUAUAUAUAUAUAUAUAUAAUAUUCUAAAUGUUAAUUUUAUCAUUUUGAUGUUUGUAAUUAUUUAUUACUAUUCAAUCAUUCAAAAUUGCAAUUGGAAUGAAGUAAUUUUUUUAAUAUAUAAAAUCCUUAAAAAAAUUAAGUGAAAUCGAUAAUUGUACUCUUAUAGCACAUUCAAAAUUAGCACAUUUAUAGCACGAUACGUGAUAAUAUCUCAACUUAGUAAAAGUUUGAACAUAUAAUAAUAUUCAUCAUGUUUAAUUUUGAUACCCAUGUGUUAAACUUAUUUGGUUUUUGAUUGAUGUGUCAGUUAUGAUUUUGGGUGACAAUAUGUAAACGUACACACUCUAAUUUAUUUGACUUCGCUCUAAUUUGUAUAAUUAUAUGGUAUCUCCAACUAACAACAUUUCUUUUCUUCCUCUACGUCAGAGGUAGUUAACAAAAUAUCAGUUAAUCACCUAAAUCCUUCUGUCAAUUUCUUUACUAUUUAGUAUUUACAUUUUCUCUUUUUUUUUUUUUUUAUUGUUGAAUUCACCUUUUACUAUGAAAUACAAAAGUCUCCACCUAAUCAUUAUUCUUAUUUGACCAUUAAUCAUGGUUGAUUUCAUAGAAUCAGUAGUACUUGCACAAACAAUUACGUUUUACUCUUGGAAUUGGCCAAAUUUUUUUUCAAACGUCAAUAAUAUAUAUGGAUCAUGAAUUUCAACAUACAGUCUUUAGAUAUUGUUUACUUCAUUUGUAUUUAAGUUGACAUGUGAAUCUAUAUAAGUUGAUGAAAUGAUAUUUAAGGACGAGUUAAAUUAUGAAUUGAAUAUUAGGUAUGUAACACAACAGUAGUAUAGAUUUUCUGUGAGUAUUGUGGGCUGAAGGUAUACACACACACACUCACUUUGGUCGUGAGAGAAAGAGCUAUUAGUUAAUGGGAAUUUUAGUAAAAAUGGUAUCCAACUUUUAUUUAAUUUUAUUCGUCCCUCAAAAGUAGCAAAAACAAUUAAAGGUGAAUUAUUAAGGAAAGAAUUAAAGUGAAGCAAAUUAUAAAGAGAGAGAGAAACUAAUGAAAGAAAAACCUAAUUAAUAGGGGAAAGUGGGAUUCUCCUUUUGGGUAAAGCAAAGCUCUUCUUUUGAGUGGUUUGUGGGUAUGGUGUGUGUUAAUUCCUCUGCCUCACAGGGACAUAUUAACUUUUCUUUCAAACAAUUUGGACGGUUCAGCUUUUCCCAAAAGGACCCUUUUACUAAUAUGCUAUCUCUAUUACCUAUAUAUAUACACACACACAAUAUGUUUGGCACUUAUACACACACACACACACAUUAUUUUUUUUAUAUGAUAUGAUAUGAUAUGAAAUAAUUAAUUAAAAGGCUCACAAAUUUAAUUUCACGUCUUCUGAAAGAUUUUUGUUCCUAAUAAUUGAUUUGAUAGUUGCCCAUUAAUUGCAUAAGGGCACAUGGAAUGCAUUUUCGGAUUCUUUUAUAUAUGCUUCAAUAACCCUAAUUAAUUACACUUUCAACAUUGUUUCUUUUAUGCUUCACACCAAAAGUUUUUUGAAUUAUAUAUCAGUCUUUUCUUUUUAAGCUUUAUGGUAUACUAAAUCUUUUGAAAAGCUUGUAAAUAUUCUCACAUUUGUAACUAUAAUGCUUCAAAUAUCAAUUCAUUAAAUAGGAAGAUUUUCUCUAACCUCUCCAUCGUGUGUUUUUAUUGACUUUUGAACUCUUCUCCUAGCUCUAUGUCCUUUAUAUCUUUUCUUGUAAUAAUGCAUCUACUUUUGGUUUGGGAUAUCAUAAAUAAUGUGUUAUAAACAUGUCAACAUGGUUGAAAUAUGUUGUUAUAUGGCCUACUAAUUAUCCCUCAACCCUCCAUUUUAAUGAAUUUAUAUAUAAGCAUUACUGUAAUUUCAUUGAAGAAAAAAAACCCUAAACCCUUAGUAUUUUUCUUCUUUUUCUUUUCUCUCUUAUAAAAAAAUAAAACAUUACACGAGGUCUUAAAAGUUUUGCCUCACAUCAAGGGAAUACAAGGCCUAUGUCUAGGUCCUUUUGCAAGAUUAUGUAUUUUAUGAAAACUAAGUUUUAUUUAACCACUUCACUAUUAAAAAUCAACUUCUUUUAUAUGAAUCUAGGGGAUCACUCUAAACUAAGUUACUUUUUUGUGCACGAAAGGUUUAUUAUUAUUAUUAUUAUUAUUUUGAAAAGUAGGAAAGAUUUAUUAUUUUGUCCUUAAAUCCGAGUUUCAUAAUUUUUGCAGUGAUUUGAAAUAAACAUUUAAUAUCCUUAUUUGUUUGAGUAGGAUUUUACUUUUUCUAAAACAUAUAUGAUAUUAUUAUCAAUCCAUUAAUAUACGUAGAUAAAAGUGAUUCUUUGUUUAUUAGAAAUGGAACUAAAGUAUUAUAUUUUGGGUUAGAAAAGAAUAAAUAAAAAAAAUAUAACUGAAAUAUAAGUUUUUAAAUAUUGGUGUGAUGUAUUUUAGCAAAAGAAUAAUCAAACCCACCCUAAUUUAUAUUCAAAGUAGAUAAUAUUUUGCUUAUACGAAUACGAAGUUAUGGGAGGCUCCAUUGUCCCCAAUAAGACUACGACAUUUUGUUGUUAUGAAAGUAUAGAUUUUGACGACGUUAUUUUAUUGAAAACAUGAAUUUUGGGUUGGGUUUAAGAAUUUAUUUUUGGUUGAAAAAUAGAUGGAGCAGGGUGCAUUCUUCUUUAAACAUAAAUCAAUAAUGCUUCCUUACCUUAAACGUACUUGCUCUUCCAAAAUGCUAAAAAAAAGUUUCAUUUUUCUUAAUCUUUUAUUGACACAUAUAGCAAGAAAUUAAACCAAGGGAAAACUAAAUCAAAAGAUGGAGAAAGAUAUAGUUAGUGAUAAACCAAAGUAUAGUUUAUUCGAAGUUUCUUACCUUUCUUAUAUCUAAGCAUAGACAAUCCACUAAUGGUUUAUAAUAAACAAUGUCCUAUACAAAUAUAUAUAUAUAUAACUAGCUAUAUCUUGGUUUCAUCUAAAAGUAUAUUUAAUUUAGUAAAAGAAUAUUGCAUAUAUUACUUUCAAUAAUACGUUCAUCUCACGUAUCCUCAACUUUUACUCUUAAAAUAAUUAAAGUAAUCCUUAUGUAAAUAAUUAACUAAUAUAUAUCAUGAGAUCACCAACUCAAAAAGACUUUAACUUUUAACCAAACAGUUACAAAUAAUUUAUUAAUGGGUGUUUUGCCUUUUGUGAUGGUUCUUUGAUUGACCAGCCAUUUAGGUUUGUUUGGCAAUGAAGUAAGUAAAGUGAUCAACAAAGGGUAAAUGUUUGAUCUUAGAAGACAAUCAGAACACAUAACUAAUUAAAAGAAAGAAAAAAAAGAAAGAAAGAAAAGCCAUUGUUCACAUUAUCAAAGUAACAAGGACAUUGGAAAUAAAGAAAAAACUUAAGCUACAAGGCUAAAUUUUUUGAUAUCAAAGAUAUACUUAUUAAGAGAGAAAAAAGAAACCUAAACCUUUUUCUUACUUUAAUGAGUUCCUCUUUAAAAAAAAUUUCCCUUCUUAAAGAUUAGAGAAGAAGCCAUUAUGGCUAUCACUUUGGAAACCUUUUAAAAUCCGCCAUAAAAUCACAAUGCAUAGCCAACUUUUUGGAACUCUAAUCACUUUCUAAAGAUAUGUGGGCUUCAUCUCUUCUCUUUUAUAUUCUCCAACAACAAUGGCGGUUCUUUAAAUUUUGUCAUUUUUUUUUCUUUUUAACUUUUACUUUUUAUGAUUGAUUUAUUUGGAAUUUGACAUAACCCUUUAAACGUAAAACUGACUUACAUUGGAAGUUAAUUAAUUAUCGACCUCCACUACGUCACUUGAAAAGCAGCACUUGUAUACGAGGGCUAUCUAUUAUAUACUUUUAAUAUUUUACUAGUCCGUUAUCGUUAUUGUGUUUGUAAUUUUAAGUGAUAUACAUAUCACGAGAGAGAUACUUAUCUCAAUAAAAAAAAACCAUCAUCGAAGUGUGAAGCGUUUCCAAAAAAUUCCCUUCAUCCCUAUGUUUUGAAUUUUGAUUAGUCUUGCUUUCGGUUUGUUCAAAUUAUUUCAUUAUUUGAUGGUGGAUUCAAUCAUGCUAAGUAUUCUUUCUUUCUUUUUUUUUAAGAAAAAUAAUACAAGUUGAGUCGGAGGUGUACCGAAACAUCUCCCAACAUGACUUACCAUUAAAGCCUAAGAAGAUACAACAAGGUCCAACAAAGUCUAUUGAGGGAAAGAGAAAAGCCUGAAGCAAGAAAACAUUAAAUGUCACAAAAAUCGCUAAGAUUAAUGGCAAUUACAGGCAGAUUAUAGUCUUUGAAGAGUCCAUAUCUGUUAGGGCUGCAAGUAUAUUUUCCUUAUGAGACCAACAAAAAUUGAUAAAAUAGAAAUUGUGAACAAAAUCUAAUGUUCACAAUUAUGAAUAAAACACAUCUAAUCCUUAGCCAAUUUCUUUUUUUAAAAAAAAAAAAGUUGUAUAAAAUGAUGUAAAGCAGAUUGUGUUGCUCCAAGAAGUAUAGUGAAUUGAAGUUGAACAUUUAAGUGGCUUGAAGUUGAAAAGAUCUAUCAAUUACUACGUCUACAAGGAAUGAGAUUGUGAGUUUACAGGCAAAAGACAUCCUUUGAAUGUUUAAAAAAUGUUACACCGUGUAGAGUGAGAGUAAAUUUUGUGAUUCAUUUAUAUCUUAAAAAAUUUAUUUCGUGUUUCUCAACGAGAUACUAGUAUAGUGAAAUUAGAACGAGGGUAAAAGCAUCUCUAUAAAAUUAGAUUGACAAAUUUGUAGCACCCACCUUUAUGCAUAUUUUAGCGAGACCUAAAAGAAUUAUUCCACGUAGUUUAUCAAAUCGCAAACCAAACCAAAAAUGUCAUAUGAGUUAUCUCAUCAACUUUAUGUGUUUUAUAUAGAACUAUAUCAGACAAACAAAUGUGCAUCAAAUAAUUGGUUUUACUAGAUUAAGAACAAUAAGUUCUUAAUGAUGAUUAACUUUUUUGUUAGGUGAUUUAACUUAUAAAAAAAAUUUAGAAGUGAGAAGAAGUAAAAGUAUUUCAGUCAAUACGUGGUAAGAUAAUGGUUUUUUUUCACUUUGUGAAAAGAAAAGCUUCGAUAUAAGAUCAUAAGUUAAAUAAGUAACAAUAACUCUCAAUCAAAUACUUCUAAAAUAAAAUAAAAUUAUCUAUAACCACUUUUGAAACAAUUAAUAAUUUUAAACUGUAGUUAGAAGUGAUUUUAGAUUAUUAAAACAGUCUUAAUAAUUAGUUUAAAAAGUUAUUAACUGAAAAACUUCUUUUGGAAGAACACUCAAUAGAUGAAUUUGAAAAGAAUAAAAAAGACUGCUUAACCAAAAAGUUUCAAAAUAUUUAGUAAGAAAAAGUACCCAUAACAUUUAGAAACUUAGAAUAACUUUUGAAUAUUUUUCAUUUGAAAAAUGUAAGAUUCAAUAAUAUUUUACUUGGGAAUUUUAUUAUUUAUUAAAAAAAUAUGUUUAAAUUAGAAGAUAUUCCAAAAAUUAGAAAGAUAAAAAGAUAAAUAGAAGGCGGUAGAACAUGUGGUAUACCUAGCAAUCCAUAGUAUGUUAUUAAUUGUUAUUAAAUUUCCAUCAAUCUAAGCAUAUUUUCUCAAAGAAAACAAAAGAAGAAACGAAUAGAAACAUUUGCAAAUUACACCUACAAAAUCAAAAAGCUGUAAAUUCCAAUUUAGACCCAUCAAAGGAAGAAUUGAAAGUUAGUAAUUAUUUAUUUAUUAGGCAUCUAAAAAAGACAAAAAAAAAAAAGAUUAAACAUAGAGACAAAAUUUCAACACAAGUUGAGCUCUUUUCCAGAGUUAAAGAGAAAAAAAAAGAGGUAAAGGGGAAGUAAGAGGAUGGUUCUUUUACACAAAAAUGUCAUUGUCUCUAUUCUCUCCUUCCCCUUUAGAACCAAAUGUAUGAGUGAAGAAAGAGUCUUAAAUAUAUAUAUAUGUUAUUGUUCCUUUUCAUGAAAGUAAGGGAUUUCAAAAUCAAAUAAUGAUAGAACAACACAAACAAAUGAAAAUUCCCUAAAAAAUUUCCAACUUUGAAUUGUCACACUCUCUUUUGAUCUAAUUCCCUUAUUAAUCACUGCUUUAUAGGAGUAUGGAUUUGAAAGGUAAGUUGAAUAUGAAAUUUGAAGGAUCCAAGGAAAGAAAGAAAAAUGAGAAUGGGAUUCUUUCAUGUGGUGUUGCUAUUUUAUUUUAGUUAAUAUGGUCAAAAAGAACAAAGGGAAGUGCUGCUAAGGCUCAUGGGAAUAUAAAUAUAUAUCUUGAGACAAGAAUUGUUGUCUUUUGAUUGGGUUUUUUUAGGACUUUGUGAGGCUUUUGAUGUCUUUGUUGGGUCUCUAUCUUCAACCAUAGACUUCCCUUUGAGACAAAAUUACAAACACUUUGGAAUGCAAGUGGCAUUCAUAUGCUUAUAAUGUGAUGUGCUUGCCUUUUUCCUACUUCUCUAUUCUCUCAUUACAUAAUUAUAAGGGAAAAAGAAAAAGAAACUUAAAGAAUAGGACCACAUACAAUAAUGUUUAAUGGAAUUAAUAUAAUGCAUGGCCGGGGUGUAACAUUACAUACCCAAUUGAAUUGAAUUGAAUUAUGUUGGAGUAAUAGUGUCUGAGUGGUUGAAAUGUUUGGACUGUAUUGCUGAUAGGGUUUAGGGUUUGGGCCAUUUUCACAUUAAUAAUAGAAUGGGUCCAGUCAUGUUUUUUCCAGGUCUAAGGAGUUUUGGAAACAAAUAUAUGGCCCAACCAGCCUUUAAUGUUUGGGAGGUUUUGUUUGUUGAGAGCUUUUGAACUAACUUACAACUACAUAUCUAUAUUAGGGUUGUACACUGAUGAUCAAAAUCUUGUUUUUUUCAAAAAUGGAUAUGGUAAUUAUUAUAUAAAUAUAUGGUGAUCAAUCUUGUAGCUCCAAUUUCUUGGUUUUCUCUACCUCCAUACUUGAGUUGGGAUGAAAUGAAAUACAUAUUAGAUGCACUUCAGUUGUUCAAAUUACAAAUUUCACCCAUCCAAAUAACGCCCUUGUUAAAAUAAGAAUCCAACUCAAAUAUGAAAUGUUAUAAAAGGGAUCUUUCUUUUUUUCUUUCUUUUCUUAAAAAUAUAUUAAAAUUUUGGAAAUACAACUGUGUACUAAAUUUACUAUUAAUGAAAAUUAAGCCACGCCAGGAUGACAAAACAACUUAUAAUAAUUAAGUCCAUAACACACAUACUUUAUAAUUUGCGAAAAUGACAAAAACAAAGUUCUGCUCACACAUCAAUAAGUAAAAUGUCACAAAUGUCAUCGUUACUUAUAUACAUUUGAUAUACCUUAUACACGUUCGAUACACCUAGUAUCUAUUGAUACACUUAAUACAUUAGAUAGAUACACUUAAUGCACCUAAUACUCUUUGAUAUACUCGAUACUUUUUGAUACACACCUGAAACAUCUUGAUACACAUAAUACUUCUCGUUAUACUUUAUUGUUCUUGAUACACUUGAUAAACCUUAGACCUUGAUUAGUUUGAUACAUUUAAAGGCUUCACUUAUAAGUUUAAUAAACUUGAUACACCGCUAAUAAACUUGUCAUGCUUCAUUGGUACACUCAACAAAUUUGAUACACUUGAUGUACAUGACAUGUUUGAUAUACCUGAUGCACUAUGCAAAUACACUUAAUAUUCUUUACUUAUAUAUUUGAUUGAUUAAAUACACUUGAUAUGCUGGAAGUUCUACUUAUACACUUGAUAACUAUUGAUAUACAUUUGUAAACUUGAUUCAUAUUUUUUAUAAUGAUUCACUUUACUGAUAUGUUUUAAUAAUAUAUUAUUGAUAUAUUUGAUAAUAAUACACUGAGUUAUGUCAUUUAUAUACUUAAUAAUACUAUAAUUAAUUGCAUAAAAUUUAAAAAAUAAAAAUCACGUAGUAAGUAUAUCAACCAAAUAAUACAUAUAAUAUAAGUAUAUCACAGCACUGGUAUACAAAACUGAGACAAAGUAAAACCAAAACAAAACCAAUGUAAAAAAAUAAAAGAUUCAACUCAAAAUACACAUCAAAAAAAAAAUCAUAAAUGAAAUUAAAUUACUUUGAUCAACAACCAUUAUAUUUUAUAUUGUAAUUAUUAUACUAUUGAUAUUCUAAAAUCAAGAUUAAGACAAAAGGAACAAAUAAUUUUCUCGUAUAAAAGAAAUAAUUAGUGUCUUUAAGAGUAGAAAAAUAAAUAAAUAAUGAAUAAGACAUUCAAAAGAUGAAGAGAAAUAAGUUAUGGAAUGUAUUGUCAUAUUUGAUAUAUCAUAUUUUCAAAAUGCUACCCUAUCUCAUUUUUCUUUAUUUUAUUAUAAGAUGAAAAUGUAAUCUAAAGUUGUGGUUAGCCUUAGAACUGAGCUUUUAAUGGAAAAGAAGAAGUUGAGGAAAGAAUAAGUAAUUAGGAUGUAUUUUUUUUAAAGUAAAUAUGACCAUUAUUGAAAUAAUAUGCAACAAGAAAUAAAACAAUAAUCGACCUUCUGUUGCAAAAUCCCAUACAAACACAACUCUUUUAAUGUCUUUCCAAAUUUAUUUUUCUCCUUGCAAAUUGCAUGCAUAUAUGGAGAAUUAUAUUAUUUGUUAAUCAUGUGAUGAUGAGAAUUGUUAGAUUGUUUUUGUUUACCACGAUUAGUUCAUAUUUAGAUUAGUUGUUAACCAUGAACUUGGUUUAAUACUCGAGUUUAUAAAGUUAAUUAUAAUUAAACAAUAUUCUUUACUUUUCAACUAACAAAAUGAAAGAUAGAAAAAAAAAAAAAAACCGUAGUAGAAGUACUGUAAUUUUUACUUGGUUAAUUUUUUUUAUAAAAGAAUUGUACAUGAGACGGAAAAUAAUUAAUGUUUUUACCCUAUUCUUUUCUAAUUAUCUUCUAAAAACUAAAACUUUUCAAUUAUAAUUAAAUAUAUACUCGUCACGUGUUAAUGAAAAUAGAAUGCACAAAUAUAUAUAUAUAUAUAUAUAUAUUUAUUUAUUUAUUUAUUAUUGCAACUAAAAACAAAUAUAUAAUAGAAAACAAAAAAAUAAUUAUAAAAUUUGGUGUGGUAAAUGAUUAUAAAAUAGAAUAUAUCAUAAUUUGUACUUGCAGAGAUUGUUUAAGAAAAUGAAAUGAAUAUGAUAAAGUAUAAUAUAUGAUAAUAGAAUAUUGUGUAUAUAUAUAUAUAUGGUGUAAUAAAUGGAAGAUUGGAUUAAUAUAGAAUUAAAAUCGAAAUGGUUAAAUAUGAUUUGUGAUUUAUGAAUAAAAAGGAAAAAAUAUAAAUGGAGGCUUUGGCGUUCCUUUCGAAGGUCUCACCUGUCUUAAAAACAUACAUCUUUUUCAAUUAAUUAACAACCCCGCUCAACCAAUUCGAAAAUUAAAUCCCUCACUCCCCAUUUCCUUUUCCUUUUUUUCUAUUUUCUCAUUAAAAUUAUAUUAAUCAAAUAAAUAAGUAUCCACUUUCCUACUUCUCUUCUUCAGCCGUGUAAUUCCAGCAACAUGGACGGCCGCCUUAACAAGAUCGCCACCCCACUCAUCCUAUUCAUCCUCCUCUUCCUUCUCAUUUUCUUAUUCCUCCUCGCUCAAAUUCUAUACAUUCUCUAUCGCCGCCGGCGUCUUCAACGCCUCCGCCCCGGUGAACCCAACCAAAAGUCUUUCUUCCUUUUUUGGAGGAACCAAUCGCGGAUCCAACCUAAAGAAAUCCCUUCCAUUUCCAAAAUUGAUGCUGAUUCGGAAGGGGCGGUGGUGGAGACGGCGGGAGACGAGUUGGAGAAGUGGCAAGAACUGUGCGGACCAUCAAGAACGCUUUUCACUAUCAAGGAAGAAGAAGAGAGAGAAGGAAUAAUGGAAUGUUUCGAGUAUAAUAAUCCUUUUCAUAAACUCAAAACGGAUGAAGUUGAAGAUACGACCCCCUUUCAUACUCCCUCUGCUUCUCCUCCCUACUUCACCCCCUCCUCGUCCCCUACUCGUGACUUUCCCACACAUAAAGGUUGUUCCGAGGACAAUAUGAGGACGCCGUUUUCGGGUAUUCAAAUUACCACUCACUGAUGGACGACAUGUCGGUUCAUGGAGCAGAACUUGCAUAUGACACGCCACGUCAGCUUCGUUCCGUUUUAAAUAAGGAUAAAAAGUAGUCCCCAGGUGGACCGUAUUUUCAGAUUUUGCAAUUUUAUCUUUUUACUUUUUGCUUUCUCCGGUAUCUGUGCUCAUCUAGUGCGGGGAGGUGUAGCUGACCGUUGCUUUUUCCUCUCCUACCGUGGCGGUUUUCAACCAAUAUAUCUGUUCCUGGACCCUGUUAAUGUUUCGGCCCAAACAUUGGCCCAUAUAUGAAGAUUUCCGUGGGAACGUUUCUUGAAUAUUCUACAAUAUAAGGUUCUUUAUAUUUAAUCAUUUUAACUCCCAUUUAUUUUUUUCUUUUCUUUUCUUUUCUUUUUUUUUAAGAAAUACCACUUUUAUGUUACACAAUGAUUCACCCUAAUGUCCAAUUGCUCUCGUUUAUUUGUACAUAAAUAUAAAUAUAAAUAUUUUAAUUUCAUAAUUUCAUAUGGUCAUGUGUUUUUAGCCGAGUCUUUAUUCAGAUGUGAUCAUUUCGUUCCUAUACUCAACAGUGGUUUUGUAAGGUUUUCAUUUCAAUUAUGUGGUGGUUUGGCCAAAUCUAACAAAAUGUUAUCUUAAUUAUUACGUAAAUAUUUGACAACUAUAGAGAAAACUAUAAAUUAACAUUUUAUGAUCAAAAUUCAAUCAAGAUGCAAUGAAUAACUCUAACAAAAUAUAAAAAAAGCAAAGAAUAUUUAAAUAUAAUUGAGUACUCAUAACUCAAAAAUAGAUAAUUAAAAAUCAAUAAUCGACAUGACAACCAAUAGCAUCUUGAAACCAAGGAAAAGAAGAAGUUCCAGUAAAAUUCAAUGGAACUUGGAAUCCACAUUCCACUUUAGGCCUAACUCUAAUAAUUUUAUAAAUCCCGAAUUUCAACCUCAACGAAAGACGAAAUUUGACAUCAAUUGAAUAAACUCCAGCAAGUUUCUCAGAAUUCAAUUCAGAAACUUUGUUGUUGCCAAUUACCACAGCCCGUUGCCCUUCAAAUCGUCCUCUAAGUAAGCUUGUUGUCUUUGGGGUUUGGUAAAAUGGAGUUAGCAAUCUUGUGUCGAAGUUUUGAUCUUUAUACAUUGCAGUUGCUUCAAUGGUGUCAUAAUAUAUUCCAACACGCUCAUUAGGGUUUCUAAUGGUGAAGUAAAUGCCAAGAUUGUAUUGGAGCUGUGUGUCAUUGUUGGUGAAGUUGAAUUGGGUUAGAGUUGCAUCUGUUACGUUGAAUUUGAUCUUGUGGGUUAUGAAAACAAGCCAUAAGAUCAAUACUGUGAACCCAAAAGAUACACCAAAAGCAACAAUAACAGAUAUUAAAAGACACCAUAAACUUGCCAUGCUCAUAUGGUGAAGGGAGAGUAUUUCGUUGGGGAUGCUGUUGGAUUGGAGGAGGAAUGUAUACAUAUAGAGAGGAAAAUGAAUUUUUUUUUUUUUUUUAUUUGUGUUUGUUGAUCAAAUCUUGCUUGUGGUUGACUUUUUGAGACACCAGCUCAUUGAGGUGCUUAAAAAUAUUAAAUUCCCAUACAGAUUGAAUAAAAAAGUGAUUUUGAUUAAGUAAAAGCUAUUAUAUUUAUUAAACUAGGGGCAUUUGUACUAUGAAAUUAAGAAUAUAUACGUUGACAUGUUAGAGAUAACUACUUGUCAUGUAUCCAACUAUGUGGAGAACUUUGGACACCUUGGGUUGAGGUUGGUUUAAUUAGUAUGAAAACGCACUUCAAAAAAAUAAAAAAAUAAAAGAAAAACAUUUCUUAGUUAUAUCCUUUCAUAUGUAAAGUUGAUUGGUAGCACUAGAAAAUUUUAACUAGAGAUAAACACAUUAAUAGCAAUUAGAGAUUAUAUGUAUUAUCGAUCAAAAAAAUUCCUAUUCAGUUACAACAAUAAUUAUAAAGACCUUUUUUUUAAAAAAGAGUAAAAUUGACAAAAAUAUUUACCUUUAGAGAGAAAAAUAAAAUAUAAUGCACUUUUGUCUCUUGAUAAUUUUUUUCAACAGUGUAUGAUUUAUUAUUAUUAUUUUUAAAAAUUCUCUAAUAUAAAUUAAUGUAUUUUUGUUUGGUAAAAACAAGUUAAUUUAGAAAAGAAUGGUUAAAUUUUGUCCCACUUCUCAAUGACUGAUUUCUUAAUCUAAACAAUAAAAUUUAGUCACCAAUAUGAACAACAGUGAAUAUUUCUUGAUCAAGAGGCAAAAAAUUAUAUCCCUACGUUGAAAAAAAAAGGGCUAGAUGUUAAAAUCCUCUUCUCCUAUUUUUUUGAAAAGGAAAAAGAAUGGAAAAGAAAAAGGCUAAAAGAAGUUUAGUUUUAAAGAAGUGAGGCAUUAAUUAAUAUUAUUUAUAUAAAGAGUUUGUAUUAUCUAUAGAAGUGCAUGUUCUAAUUGGCUCUAAGGAAGCUCGUGGUCCGUUUCAUUUCGACCUUAGUUAAAAAAGCACAAAAAACAUAUAUGUGGUGAAUUAAUGAAUAGUAUUGCAAAUGAAAAUGAAGGAUAAUUUCAUUUGGGGCCAUUAAAAUUUCUAACUUCCCAAAAUAUAUUAUUAGUAGACUUUACCAAAAAAACUGUUCCAUUGUUAUUGUUGAUGUUAAUUAUUUGAGGAAAUUUGUGUCAUAUUAAUUAAUUGAACUAUGGAAACUAUUAAUGUUAUGAAAUUCAUUAAGGGAUGACAAAAUAUAGUAGUGGGUGGGUAGGUUACAAUUUCCUUCUUGUCUCGACCUGAUCUACCCAAUGUGUAUGAUUUGGACAUUUCAUUUCGCAAUUAAAUAUUCAAUUUCCAGAAAGAUGCAUUGAAGUUCUCUAACAAAUUACAAGAUCCAAACCAGAAAAACUCAAUCAAAUACAAAUGAUAAUUGAGUACAUAACACAAAUUUCUUUGAAAGAAUCAAUAAUCAACAUCACAACCAAUAGCAUUCUGAAAAGAAGAAGUUCCACUAGAAGUUAAUGGAACUUGGAAACCACAUCCUACUUUAGGCCUAACUCUAAUGAAUUUAUAAAGCCCUAAUUUCAACCUCCACGAAAGACGAAAUUUGACCUCAAUUGAAUAAACCCCAGAAAGUUUCUCAGACUUUAAUUCAGAAACCGUGUUGUUGGGAAUUACCACAACCCGCUGCCCUUGAAAUCGUCCUUUAAGUAAGCUUGUAGUCCUCGAGCCUUGGUAAAAAGGGGUUAGCAAUCUGGUGUCAAAGUUUUGACCUUUAUACAUUGCAGUUGCUUCAAUGGUGUCAUAGUAGAUUCCUAUUUGCUUAUUAGGGUUUCUAAUGGUGAAGAAAACACCGAGAUUGUAAUGGAGUUGAGUGUCAUUGUUGGUGAAGUUGAAUUGAGUAAGAAUGGCAUCGGUUACAUCGAAUUUGAUCUUGUUGGUUAUGAAAAUAAGCCAUAAGAUCAAUAAAGACCCCCCAAAAGAUAUAGCGAACGCAAUAAUGACGGAUAUUAGAAGACACCAUAUAGAGCGUGCCAUUGUCAAGAGUUUCUUUUUUUUGGGGAUGAUGUUAAAUUGGAAGAUGAAUAAAUAUAUAGAGAAUUUGUCAAGAGUAAGUUGUGUUUGUUAAUCAAAAUUGGUUUUAUGAGACCCGGUUGAGGUCGUUAAAAAUUAAUUUUGCCAUAGUUGACUAGAAGUUUGAAUAAGUAAAAACUUUAUAUUAUAUAAAAAUAAUAAAUAAAACUAGGGGCGUUUGUAAUAUGGAAUUAUGUUGACAUGUUAGGUCGGUCAAAUUGUCAUGUGUCCAAUUAAGUUGAGAAUUUGGACACUUCUACUGCUGAUGGUUUUUCUUGUAAGCAACCUUGGUUGAGGUUCACUUUUUUUUUUUUUUUCAGAACCUUUCCUGUUACCAAAUUAGAGACUAUAUAAUUCGAAUAAUUAAUGAAUUCAGACAAUAGUAGAUAUAACUAUAUAUGUCUUUCCCAAAACAUUCUUAGUAGACUUUAUUAAAAAUUCAAGUCGUUUAGUAUAGAUUGGUAUGUGAAAGUUUCCAUUUGGUCUCUACACGUUCAUAGUAUAUGAUUUUGAACACUUCCUAGGGAUUAAAUAUUUUCCAUUCCCAAACAUUUAAUAAUAAGAAUAUAGUUUUCCUUAACAAGAUUCUUAUUAAAGAUGAUAAUUAAAGCGUGGGGUAGGGGGAUGCCUCCUUCGUCUCCCUCCCUGUCCCUGCCUUCCUCAUCUUUCCAUUUUAUUAUAUUCAUCUAUAACCAAAAAAAAAAAAAUCUAUUUAAUUUCAUACAAAUCUGGAUAGAGAUCAAGUUUUUCUUGGAUAAUUUCUCUCUCUUUGUUAAAUAAGAAAUAUUUUAACAAAAUUUAUGAGAAUAAUAAACUUAGGUUACGAUUUAUGUCUUAAAUCUCCAAUUUGUAAAUUUCUGAAUAAAUAAAAUGUAUUUAUUAUCUCUUGAACAAGUAUUGAUUAUGUGCAUAUAACUAAAUAACUUGAACAAUAUGUGAUGGUUGUACAAGUUACUUGAAUUCAAAAUAUAUUUUAACAUUAUAAAUUUUUUGUUAAAAAGGUAAAUAAUAUAAUUAGGCACUAAUUUGAUUUUAACAAUAUGAGUGAUUAUUAAAAAGGAGGGAUUAACCUUUUUAAAAAAUUAAUUACUGUCAAACAGUCUUUCUUCAUUUUCAAUUUUGGUCGCUCUUAAUAUAAACAUUGAUUCUAAUAAUUGUUAUUAAUCAAGUAGUUGCAAAAAUUCAAUUUUUGAAGUCAUUUUCUAUUCCCUCAUUUACGACGAUCAAGUUUCUAUUUGUAAAAUAUGUUAUUAACGUGUGCUGAUCCAUCUAUGUACAACCACCCUCUUUUGUUUUUGACAUGUAUAGUUGUCUUUUAAUUAAGAAGCAUUUUCAAGUAUAGACUAAUCAAAUCAAAAAAUAUAUAUAUUUAUGGACUUUAAGAUAUAGCUACUCAAGAUAUAACGUAAUUGAUAAAAAUAUUUGCAAGUUACUCCAGAAGUAUUAUAAUGUUUCAAAAUAUCUCAAUUAAAUUAUACAGUCUUAGCCUAUUCAUUAGAUCUUUGAAUCCAAUUUUUUUUAACUUUCACAUAUGCAACUUUUUAAAAGAAUCUCAAUGUAAAAAGUAUUAAUAACAUCAGUCACAUUAUUAUGACCAUCUCUUAAAAUAAAAACAUAAAACAAAAGAAAUCAAUAAGUGACGAAGCAACCGAUAAUCCGAAACCGAAAUAACGAUCUUUCAUGAGAAAUCAAGGGAAGAUUAAGGCCACAACGAACCUUGGGAUUGAGUUUGAUUCUAAUGAAACCAAUCUUAACUCUCAUAUGAAGACGAAGCUCCACUUUAAUGGAGAAGAUAUCAACAAGUUGCUCCAAAGUGAACACAGCCAGUUGCUUAGCGUCAAGAUUCAUCAAUUGUUGACCAUCAAACCUAAAAUUCAGCGAACUCUUUCCCUCUUGACCUUGGUAAAAUGGCGACAAAGACACGUUGCUAAACUUAAUGCCUUGAUACAACACAGCCACUUCGAUGCUGUCAAAGAACACUCCAAAGCCACGAUUAGGGUUUUUGACCGUCAUGUUAAGGCUAAGUUGGAAGAGGAGUUGGCUGUCGUCGGUUAAGUUGAAUUGGGUCAAGUUGGCGUUGUUCACUUGGAACUUGAGUUUGCGGGUCAUGGUCAUGAGCCAUAAGAUGAACAAGGAAAUGAGAAUUAAAACGAUAAUGACAAUGGUGAAUAUGAUGCACUUCUUAGUUCUGGACAUGGUUAUUGAGAGGGGUUAAUGUAUUGGAAUUCAUAUCCAUCGAUUUGGGUAUUAAUAUAAUUCUGUUUUUGUAUUGUAUUUGCAGAGUUGUAUAUAAAGAUUUUUGUUUUGUUGACCCAAAUAAUUGAUUGUGUGUAUAGUUGAUUUAAUGUAAUUAUUUCGUAUAUGUGUAUUGCUUUUUGUAUUAUUUAGUUGAAUCAAGUGGUGUGGUAAACUAAUAUAAUUUAUAGAGCAAGUCAAUGUGUUAAUAUUUAAAAUUAUAUUCCCCUUCGCGAUGAAAUUUAUAUGUUACGAUAUUAGGAUUGUUAUAUGAUUCAAUUGCAAGAAAAAAAAAUGAAGAUUAUUUCACCUUGCUUGAAUUAUAUGAUGUAUUUAGAGUCAGUGAAAUGGAUAGAAUAGAGAACAUUGAAUAUUGAAUUGAUUUCAGACACUAAGAUAAAUUAGAAAGGCAUAUUUUAAUUAGGAAAUAACUUUGAAAAGAAAAAAAGUGAUUUGAUAAUUCUAAAUCUAGAGAACGUUAUCAUUAAUAAUAUGUAUGCAUAGAAGAAGUGUAGCAAGACUUGGUCACAUCUAUAUUAAACAUUUAUAUAUAGAUAUAUAAUAAGAAAUUUUGGUUAAUGUAACCUUAGAGGCUUUACUUUUGUCGUGUGUAAAUAAUGAAACCUCUUGAUUUUUUAAGAAAUUCAUAUAAUUAAUCAUCGAAUGGAACUUAGUCGAAAGUACCAUGUAUAUCUAAGUUAGUCAACCAAUAUGUAGAAAAAGAGAGCCCAACAACCAUGAGCCCCAUUAAAGAAAAAAGUGUGACGUUUUAUCUAAAGUAUUAAUGAUAAAACUUUAAAAUUAAAUUUACACAUUUUUAUCUAUCAAAUUAAGUUUUUAGUUUAAUAAGUAAUUUGAUAAUAAAAGAUCUAUAAUCAUCAAACAAAAAACCCUUCACUUACUAUAUAUGAAUUCAUAUAUUGUUUGAGAAGAGUUAGAACAUAUAAUAUCAAUAAUACUUCAUUCAAAUAGACUUGGAUACAGUUGGUACUUCUCAACGCUUUGUAUUCUUCAUUUCAAAGAAUGUGAAAAAUACUUAUAUGGCUACAAAGAGGAAUUAUGGUCUUUUGUUCUCACUUCUUAAUGUGAGUUUGAAAUGUGACUUGUGCUUUAGAACGGUGGAAAUUCAACCAAUUAAACUAAUUUUAGUAUAUUUAUGUCCAUUUUGAUUUAACAAAAUUUUGAUCUAAAUUAGAUUUUCAGGACUAUUUGGAACACUAUUUGAAUAAGAAUUAUAGGAAUAAUUCUAACGUUUAUGAAGCUUUUGUUUAUAGUAUACGUACGAUUUAAUAAGAAUAUAUAUUCAUUAGAUUAUUGGGUGGUAAAAGAAGAUGUUGUUCUGUUGGUGUAUAUGACAAACAAAAAGCCUAAUUUGAUAUAAUUGAUUAAAUACCAUGUUGGUUGUAAAAUUCUCACUAGCUUUAGUGAUAUUUUGGUAGAGGGGAUGUUUUAGCUAAUUAAAAGGUUGAAAUAUGAGAGAAUUGAGAUAUAGAUUAAUUCCUUGGAACGAUGAAGUCUACUCUACAUUGUCCCUUUCUUUCAAUUUCUUUUAUCUUUAAUCUCGAAAUUGAGUUAGAGACAUUUUUAUCAUCAUUAUAUGAAAGACUUAAUGCCGUCCUAGUCUUCUUUUAAAAUAGCAAUUAUCCCAUUUUUCUAAAUAAGAUGAAUAUAUGUUCCCUUAAUCCAACCAACAACACCCUAAUUAAAAACAACAAAACCAAAGCUCCCAUUUUUUUUCUUAAUUUAUCGAUACACACAAUACAAAAUAGCUAAUCGCCAAAAGUAAUUAGAAUAAAAAAUUAAAAUAAUACAAACAACAACAAACAAAUAAAAUAAAAUAAAUUUAUGAUUUCACAACUAAAUUAAAGGCUAAGAAAUACGACCAAGAAAAAUAAGAAUUGACUAACUCACCAAUAAUCAAUAUCACAGCCGGUAGACUCAAACACCGAACCAACAACUGAGUUUCCAUCGGAACUCAACGGAACUUUAAACUCACAAUUCACCUUAGGCUUAAACUUCCCUAUCCUAACGGCACCAAACUUCAACCUGAUCCGAAGAUUAAGCUCCACGUUCAUCUCGUACACGCCCGCAACUGUCUCCGCGUUGAACUCUGUCAGCCCCUGGCCGGCGAGAAGGAGGAGCUGCUGCCCGGAGAAAACGCAGCUGAUGACGGCCGUGGUUUUGUAGCCUUGGUAAAAUGGCGGCAGCCACUGGGUCUCUAGGCGCUGGUCUUUGUAAAUGGGGGAGGAUUCUAUGCUAUCGUAGUACACCCCGAUUCGCUUGUUGGGGUUUCUCACUGUGACGUUGAGGGCCAAGUUGUAAUGGAGCUGGUUGCCGAUGAGGUUGAAUUGGGUGAGUUUAGCGUCGGUGACGUUGAAUUUGACUUUGUUGGGACGGAAUAUGAGCCAUAAGAUCAAUACGGCGAGACCAACGACGAUGAUUAUGGCGAUGAGGAUCUUGAGAAAGGUGAUGAAUCGGCCCCCACCACAGCUGCAGCGGCAGUGGUUGUGGUGAUGUUCCGGGCGGUGGUAGGUAUGCUUGCCGGCCAUUUUUUGAGAGAGGGAAUUGAAUUGGAAUGAGACUGGAGAAAGGAUUAUAUUGGUUGAAAUUUUGAGAGAUUUAUGUGAUUUUUAUUAAAAGAAAUAGUUUCAGGACAUCUCGAACAGAUCUAUCUUUAUUACAUGUCACUCAAGUGAAAACUCAAGUGUCAAUCAAUAAUUCUCUUAAGAAAAUUUUAAAGACAUCACUUAAAAUAUAGACUAAAAACUCAGGUGCAGCCGAAACAAAUGUUCAAAAAAAAUUGGACAUAUGUUAGUUUUUUGUUUUUAAUAUAUACUGCAUUGUUUUCUUAUUCUCUUCUUCUAAAGGAAGCAUGCCUGCACUUUAAAAUAAGAGUAAAAGUGGAAAAAAAAAUCAUUGAUAGUAGUUUGGGGGAAUUCUUUUUCCAAUUGGCAUUUGAAAAAUGAAAAGAGGAGGAAGAUUUAUGUUUUUGAUUUUUUGUUUCUGGGUGACCCAAUAAUUGAAGGCGUUGACUUGUACUUGAUAAAGUAAUACACAUAUAACGAUCAAAAGUUUAAUUAUAAUGUCAAUGCAUAACUGUUUGCUUGUAGUUAAUUCAUUUGUUAAAUUAAAGAGGAUCAUUUUCGAGGAAAUUUCUUAGAUUGAAACGGUGUUCGGUAUUGAGUAAGAUUGAUUUGGUCUACAGAUGAGUGUGUUAUUUGCCUGCUCUUCAAAAUAGAGUUUCAAAAAUACUUUUUUUUUUUCCCUUAGGGAAACACUUAUUAAUACUUUAUUGACGAGCACUAGUGAUAGAUAGAUUUCAUCAUUGAUAAUUUCGAAAAAUGUAUUGUAAAGUGUUAUCACUUGUAUCAAUUAUGAAAAUGCUUGCAUUUAAGGGUAAAUUUGAAAUUCUAAAACAAAUUUACAUAAUGGCUGGUCCAUGUAUGUUUGCUUUAUCUAGAAGUCUUUUAAAGAUGUGUUAUAUUUUCUGAUUAUUUUUUUAUUGUGUUAUUUUCUAUAAUUUUCCAUGAAAUAUUCUGUUAACUGUUAAGUAUGUAUGUGUAUAUAUAAAAGAAAGUAAUUAGAAGUCGGUAAGAUCAAUUUUUCCAUAAAAGGAAAAGGAAAAUCUCUUUUUGGUAACUGAUCGUAUUGUUCUUUUCAAAAUGCCAUAAUUAAAUUCGUUUUGAAAAAAUUCAAAGAGAUGAAUAUGGUCCAUUACUAUACUUCUGUAUAAAUUUUAUAUUCUCUUUAGAAAUUUUAGUUUCUAAUGUCUUCCUUUUCAUUAAUUGCCUCACAAUUUAAAAAAAAUCAAAAUAAAAAUCAAAUUAUCAUGUGACAAUAUUUCAUGGAAGAACUUGCAAAUCAUGGAAGAAGAUGGGUAUCCAGGUUGUAUCAAAGUUUCUUUUGUUGAGUAUUAUGUGAUUGUGAUGGUGGAUAAGUACAACCUCCCCUUCAAUAUAGCAUUACACAUAUUGUUUGUUUUUCAAGCAGCAGUUGGUACAAUAUAAUUUUCUUCAACAACACAAAGAUUCACAUGUACUGGUCCACAAUGUUAAAAUUAUAACUAUUAGAACAUUUGCUUUUUAUUCAUAGCUACAAACUUUUCACCCACAUUAUUUAUUUUGUAUUAAAAAAAAUACAAAUAAAAAAUUCAAAACAAAAUAAGAUUUUAAGGGAAAAAAACAGCAAUACACCUACAAUAGAAUACAUAAGGAACCAAAUAAAUGAAUCAGAAACUGAAAUCACAAUCAGUGUUGGAAAAUAAAGAGAUAGAUUUAGGGUCGAUGUCGCUACCCAACGGAACCUUCAAUCCACAAUACACCUUAGGCUUGAAUUUCAACACCACUUGACCGGAUUUCAUCCUUAAACGGAAAAAGAACUUCACAUCAAUUGAAUAUAUCCCAUUAGCUUUCUCGGCAUUGAACUCGACAUGUUCAUCACUGGUGAGAAACAUGAGCUUCUGACCGUCGAAGUUGUUGGGGCUGACGACCACGGUGGAUUUGGUUUCUUGGAAGAACGAGGGAAGCCAUUGAGUAGCAAGCCUUUGGUUUUUAUAAAGAACGGCCAUUUCGUUGUAGUCAUAGUAAACACGGUAGCGUUUGUUGGGGUUUCGAAUGGUGACGUUAAGAGCCAAUGAGUAAUGGAGUUGAUUGGAAGAUGUUGUUGUCAAGUUGAAUUGGGUGAGUCUAGCACUGCUCACAUUGAACACCAACUUGUGUGGACUGUAUACAAGUCCUAAUAUCAAUAAUAGAAUACCAGCCCCUACAAUGAGCCCAAUUGCCACCAUCAAAAUGGUACAUAGAAUGCGGCGGCCACGGCGUGAUUUUGACGGAGGAGGCACGGCGGGGCCAUAGAAGUUGCUGUUUAAAUGGGGCUGUCUGUCAGCCAUCAUGAUAUAUGAGAAUUUGAAGGGAUUAAAUUAGAGUGAAUAUGUAUACGAAAAUAAUUUGGUGAAGAGAGAGAGUAUUGGAUUGGAUGAUAGUUUUGAUUUGGGAAGUGGGAGGUGAAGAUGAUUAUUUGGUAUAUAUAGAGAAGGAAAUUGAGGGAUUGACAAAGAAAUUAAUAACGAUAAUUAUGAAACUCAACUUGUAUAAUUUGAACUCGUUUUCUUAAUGAUCACAACUUGUUGUUUUUAAUUAUAAAAUGAUCAAAGACAUCGGUAUGGGUAUUCUUUUUGUUUUGUUUCACUUUCAAACAACUUGACAACAGUUUUUUGUAAAAUGAUAAUUUUUAUUAUAUAUUCUUGCUUGGUACACGAAUUUUGAAUUAUCAAAACUUAGUAUUAACUAUAUUUACCUUAAAAGAAUUGUAAAUGUGGAUUUUUUGAAUGUUAAUAGGUGAAAAUAAAUUUAGUAUUUGGAUAUAUAUUCUUGGUUAAACUAUUAAAUUGUUAAAAGUAUGAAGCAUAAGAAAAGGUAUCACUUUAAUCUGGUUGAUAUGUAUAAGUUAGUUCUCCCAUUUUUGAAAGGGAAAAAGUGAGGAAUAUAAAUUAAAAUGUCAAGGGCAGCCAUAAUUGGAAGAAGCAGGGAAAGUUCGUCGUGGUUAAAAAAAAAACGUAAAACUCACAUCAAUGUUGAAUAUCUUCCUUCUCAAAAAGUCAAAACGAUCCACUUUCUUUGGGGGGGAAAAUGUCAAAACGAUUUGAAUUAUUAUUACUGUUAUUUUAUGUAACGAGUUGAAAUAAAUAUAUUUCUAACCCAAAUUGGGUGAUUAAUGUAAUAUCCACUCCACCCAAUUGUGCAAUGAACAUCUCAAGCUUUUAUUUAUCUUUCUUUAAAUUAAAAUAAAUACAGAAAUUCAUUUUGAAAUACAGCAAAAUACAGUAAAAUUUUAGGUUUUGCCUACUACAUGAUGGGUACUGAUAUGAGUAUAAUAUUAUUGAAUAAUUGACUUAGAUAAUUAUAGAAUAAAUCAACUAAACAAAUAUUCAUUUUUGCCAUAAACCCUAAUUUGUUUAAGGGUGGUUUUUUAUUUAAUGAAAAUCAGAAGAAGAAGCAAGUUGAAUAGAAUUGAUUAGAAUAAUGGGGCUGCUUUAGAAAUAGCCGUUUUGGAUGCUGAAAGAUAUCAGUCAAGAAAAGUGGAAUCGUACAAGGUUGGUUUAAUAAUACUUCAAACUUUAUAGAAUUGAAUUAGUCUCGAUGCCUCUUUCCCCUCUCUAUAAUUAAAUUUCCACUCUUUUGUUUUGCUUAUAAAUCAACUCCACGCUCCAUUUUUUGUUUCCUUCUUUUUUACUAGUGUUCUAUAACAAUCCUCUCCAACCCUUUCUUUGUUCAGGUUUUGUUUUCCUUUUUAGUUUUCCAUUCUUUUUAUUUCCUUUAUAUAUAUACACACACACAAAUACUUGUUUGUUGGACAUGAUGUUAAUUAUUGUUGAUAUACCCUUGUUGUUGUUGCUGCUGCAAAUCAAUGGUGAAAAGAAAAUGCAAUGAGAAAGUUAAAUCAAAUAUUCCAAUAGACACAUCGUUUUUUAACACAACUUUUUCUUUUUUAUGGCAUUAAAUUAGGUAUCACAUGAACAAUUGUCUUUUAUGAUAGGAUGGACUACUAAGUUGUUAAUGCAUUUCAACCUCAAAAUUCUUGCUACAACUUACCAUUUUUUGUUUUGAAAAACUAACAUAUUCCUUUGUUAACUAUUUUGAUUUUUGUUUUUGGGUGAAACAAUGUGCAAAGGGCACAUGAGGGGUUUCUUUAUUGUUUGUUAUACUUUAUUUAUUAGAAAAAAGAUACGUUGAGUCAUUUGGAUACACUUGGACAUCUACAUUAAGUGGACACUCCGGUCAUAACACUCUCAUCACUCUCGCUUCAUUAAUAUAGUAGAACAAGAACACAGAAAGUCGGAAGAAAAUGGCUAAAGAUAAGCUCGCAUAGAGUUAGACAAAAGCAUUGAUAUUUAAAGCAAUAGAACUACCACUAUUGUUUUUAAAGAGAUUUGAUCUACUAGUCCAAAAGCAUGAAUGUCAUCCCAAAUCUCGACAUUGCUUUUUUCAACCCCUUGAAUAUUCUAUUGCUUCUCUCAAUCCAGAUAAUUCAUAAAGCCACAGCAAUAGUGUUGAAAGUAAUGACCGUUUUCUGUUAUUUAUAUUAGUAUUGCACACAUCUUUGCAAAGAGCAGCCAUGCAUAUUGGAGAAGUUGUGAUUCCAAUUCAUCACAAUUAAUAUAUCUUUAUCCACAACCUUGUAGUGAAAGAGCAGUGGAAAAGGUGAUCCAAGUCUUUCAAUUGGUUUUUUCACAGAACACGUCAAUAUGAGCUGAUAUUCUAGGAGGGAAACCUCUUUUGGAGCUUGUCGGCAGGGUACAUACAUUCAUGAAUCAAAGUCCAAAUCAAAAACUUACAUUUUUUUUGGUAUAUUGGAUUUACAUAGAGUUUUGUAAGUGAUUGAACUUAUUUCAGAUGCUUCAAUCAGAGUGUUCAAGAGGAGAGCCUUUUUAGCUAAUGACGUGUCGAACCUGCCAUUUGUGUUAAUUAAGUUUCCAUAUGGAAAUAUCGUUACCCCUGUUUGGAUUUGGUGCAGUGAAGAUUGCUUUUAUGUUGUCCCAAAUUUGAAUUUCAUGGCUUCUAAAGGGGCCGGCGAGCUUGAAUAUCCCAUUCAGGAGUAGCCGAAUUUCAAAAGUCUUUUACUCUUCCUUGUUGGUUCUUUGAGAGAGCAUAUAGUCUAGGCACAGAGGUCGCAAGAGGAGAUUUAUUAUUCCAUAGCCUAUUCCAAAAAGAAACUGAAUCAUCACAGUUAAUUUUUCAAGUGUGUUGUCCAUUGAACCAGUCGAUGGCUUUAAUCAUGGUACUCCAAGGUGCUUUAGAAUUGCUAUAUCUGCCUUUGAUAGGGAAAUCGCCAUUGGAAGCCUGCUUAUAUUUUGCACUCCAUGGGGAUUAUUGUUUGGUUAUAUAUAUAAUUCAAUUUGAUUAAACAAAGGUUGGGCUUGGCAUAGUGGUUUUUUAUUCCGUUUGACUCUUAACUUUCGGUUUUCUUAAUUCUAUUCAUAUUGUUUUUUUUUAAAAAAAAAAAUCGAUUGAACAAAAAAAAAAAUCAGUGUUGAAAAGUUAAUUUUAAUUAGAAUUUUUCUCACAUAUAUAAAUAAAUUUCAGCUUUAAUUCUUCCUUUUCUGUUUCUGUUUGCCCUGCUAGGAAUGUUUCUUAUUUUGAUUAAGAAGAUAUAUAUGAGGCGAAAUUUUCAAACUUAUAAGAGAUUAAUAAAUGGUUUAAAUCACACGCUACACUUAUGUAAUUAUGUAAUAAUAUCUUUCUUACAAAUUACCAACUUAAAUUUUCACCAUAUUUAAAAAAUGUACUUUAAAAGAAUGAAUACCCUUCCAUUAUAAAUAAUAUAUACAAAACUAGACUGUUUUUAUUCAAUACCCAACAAAAAAAAUUAAACAUACUAGAAAGAAAACAUAAAGUAUAUCAACAUGAAAAACAAUAAAAAGAAUAUCAAAACAUAUAAUGUAGAAAAAGAAAAUAAAUAAUAAUACAGAUCAGUUGACUCAGUCAAAAAAAAUCUGCAAAGAGUUGACUAAGUCAAAACCGAAAAGAUUUCAAUCAGAAAUCGAAAUCGCAGCGAGUGGUCUGAAAAGUAAAGGAGUUUGGAUUGGAUUUCAAUGGAACCUUCAAUUCACAGUUAACCUUCGGCCUAAACUUCCCAAUUCUCACGGCGCCGACCUUCAACCUCAAACGGAGACGGAUCUUGACGUCGACCUCGAAGACGCCGGCAAGUGUCUCCCCGUUGAACUCUGUAAGCUUGUCGCCGGCGAAAAUCACGAUCUGCUGGCCGUCGAAUUGGGGGCUGAGGACGGAGGUGGUUUUGUGGCCUUGGUAGAACGGCGUUAACCAUUGUGUGUUAAGCCUCUGGUCUUUAUAAUACGGCGAAGCUUCGAUGACGUCGUAGUACACUCCGAUUCGCUUGUUGGGGUUUCGGACAGUGAGGUUUAAUGCCAGAUCGUAAUGGAGUUGGUUGCCGGAGACGUUGAAGCGGGUGAGUUGGGCUCCGGUGACGUCGAACUUGAGCUUAUUGGGACGGAAUACGAGCCAAAAUACCAAGACAGCUACACCAAGGACGACGACUAUGGCGAUGAGGAACUUGAGAAAGGUGGUGAGAAGGCAGCAGGCGCAGCCUCGGCCGUGGCCGUGGCGAUGGUAGGUCUUUGCCGGAGGAGGGACGGCAGGGCCGUAAAAGGCGCCGUUGAGAUGGGGUUGUUUGUCAGCCAUAUAAUGUGUAUAUAUGUUUUGGUGAAAAAGAGAGAGAAUGAUAUCAAAUGAAAUGGGAAAUAAUGGAAGUGAAGAAAUCGGUACAUAAAUAGUGAAGGAAGUCGAGGGGUUUUAGGUUUAUACGCGUAGUUGAAAGCUAAUUUAAUUAGCUUCUACGAACUUUCUCAUGGAUAUUUUUCAAAAAGCUGUUUGAAAUGUAAGACUCUUUGGAAUCUUUCAAAUUAAAAACAAAAAUAAAGAUAAAAAUGUGCAAUUGUACAUACACAUACACAUACAUAUAUAUAAUGAAGACAAGGAUUACACACGUCAAAAACUGCAAAAGUUAUAAGUCAAUUGAAUCCAAGAGACUUUUGGGUUACGUGCAGUAUUACUAUUUACGAAGCAGUCAUUAUCAGAAGACAAUUUCAAUAUCAGUAUUCUUACAAACUUUAAUUUUAUCCUCUAUUUAUAAUUACUUUUUGAAAUAUAAUGUAUAUAUAAAUUAGAUUAUUCCUUAAGAAAAUAUAAAAUUGAUUUAGUUUUAGAUCGUACUCGGUUUUGACUAUUUACAACACGGCGUUGCAAAUUUAGAUGUUUAUGGUUUCUUACGCAAAACGCUACCAUGUGUCUCCCUUGACUUUGCCCUUCUAAUAACAAUAAAUAAUCAUAUCACAUCUUUUCAAAUAUAUAUUAAAUGAAACAAUAGAUUUUUGUUAUUUCUCAUUUUUCAUUUUUUGUUACACGAGGUUUAAUUUUUGUAUAAUUUUAAAAUGAUAAGGACAAUUACUAUAGUUAUAUGUUUUAUUAAAAUAAAAUAUACUAUGUACUUAUGUCCUUGAUUUCCCUUUUGGGUUUUAUAUGGAUGCUUCUAAGUUAUUGUAUUUGAAAACAAGGGUCUCUCUAACUGAGGAAGAAAAAAUAUUUCUUAACAUUUCACUUUCACUCUUUUGUUUUAUCUUUAAUUUCUCUUAUUUGUUUUACACAUCCAUAUUUUUUAUUUCAAUAUUUUAUUUGUGAUGGGAAUUAAUCUCUUUAUUGUAUCUUAAAUUAAACAUUGUUAUAAAAAUGAAAGAAGUCAAAUCAUGUGAUGAGGGAGAUUUUGAGCCCUCCAAAGAAGAUUUAAUGUUAGAAAUUAAUUUUGAGUUAGGAUUUAUGGCCACUAUUUGUUUUUAAUACAUUCCGUUUCUUUCAAGAGUCAUCAACUCAUCAAUGUUGUGUUGCUGUUUUGGUAGCCUUUGAGUGAACUAUUUCUCCAAUAAGAAUAUUUAUGAAUAAAUACACAAAUCUUUAUUGUUACUACUUAAUAAUAAAUAUAAGAAAAUCUAUAUAAUCUCCUAAUUAAGAUUAAAAUCUUCAAAUGAUUAGGAUUGUAAUUUAUAUCAAAACUUUUUCUUUUUCUUUCAAACAUCCCAUAAGAUUCCACAUUUUUCGAGAUGCUACCAGAUUUGUGGUUGUUUCCAUGGGUCGUUCACCUAAAAUAUAGUUUGUGGGUCGCCCGACAUAUAUAUGUUUGAAGAAAGAAGUCGUGUUAUGGACUUUUAACAAAUUUUGCAUUGACAGUGAGUUUUCUCUUUGUUAGUACUGACAUUGUGAUUCACUUCGUUAAGAAGAUGUGUGUAGAGAAUUGAAGGGUGAAACGUGAAACAUAUAAUCUAGGGGAGCUUAGAUCAAAUCCCUAUUCAUACAUCAAGUGAUUUAGGAAAAGCCUAUACAUUUAUCUUGUGAAAGUUGUGUAAUACAAGAUAAUUAAUUCUUGAUAAGUUAUAUAUAUUUGUGACACCUCUUGAAUAAUUUUAGUCAAUGAUCUUUUAAGUCGGAUUUAAGAUCUUCCAAAUAUAGGUGUGAUUACAUCAAACUUCAAUUACCAACUUGGUUGUUGUGUUAUGUGUUUUCAUACUAUUGUGUAUGUUGUUUACUUUAUCAAUAGUAUGUUGCAAACAUAAUUCUUCCUAGUUUAAGUUUAACACUGUGUUUUCAGUUACAAAGAAGAAGAAAAAUCGUAGCUUAUGUUGUGUUUAAAAAUUACUCUUUAUAAAAGUUUAUAUUAUGGUUAGUUAAUUUCCUAAAACUUACUCUGGCAGUACAAUAAUAAUCUCAUUUCAAUGUUUGGAUGAAGUUUGUUGACUUGGAAGGAAGCAAUGUUUGGGACCCAAUGUUCCUUCUAAUUAAUAAGAUCACAUAUCCCACAAUUUCACAUCACAAUUUUCAUCCUCUGUUCGAAUGGAUUAAAAACUAAUUACUAUAACUUAUGAAAUAAUAAUAAUGAAUUGAAUUCCAAUAAUAUUUCAAGUUUGUGAACCAAAUAUUGAAUGUAUUUUUUACCAAAUCAACUCAACUUACGUUGGAGUAAGCCAAAUUACACAUCUUUAAAAUUGUUCUUCCUUUCUCUCCUAAUUUUUUAACCAUAAUUUCUCUUUUAGUAAACAUUGAAUUCUUAAACAAAAUUUUUAAAAAUAAUAAUAAUGAUAAUGAUAAUAAUAAUAUCUUAAAAACUACUAUUUUUUUUGUUUUAAAACUUAACUUAAUUUUGAAAACCAUGUCAACAGUACUCCAAAAUUAACUAAUACAUAUAGAAAUAGUGUUUAGAGUAUUAAUUUUAUUAGAAAUAGAGUACGAUUCAGCUGGAUCAUGCAUUGAUCGUUCUCACCACUCAAAAAAAAAAAAAAAUUAAUUUAAAGAAAAAAGAACAAAAUUUGCUAUUGACAAAUUAGAAUUGGGAUCUUAUGAUUUUGCAGAAUACACAGAGAUGGGUUGGUAGCGAAUGUAUAACUAAACUAUUUUAGAAAAACUAGUGUGUAGAUGCCACUUUUGUUUAUGAAAGAGCCACCCGUAUACGACUUCCCUCCAAUGUAGACUAACUUUAGGAAUAGGUUUUUUUUCAGCAAAAGAAUACAAAGAGAGAAUGUUCCUAUAGAACUUCCAUUCCGCGUAUCCUCCUCCACUUCCUUCACUAUUUAUACAUAAAUCUUUACUUCCCCAUUUCAUUUUAUUAUUACUUCACUUCCCUAUUCUUUCGUCUCUCAUUUUUCACCAAACAUACACACAGAUAUACAUAUAUAUGGCCGACAAACAACCCCAUCUCAACGGCGCCUUCUACGGCCCUGCCGUCCCUCCUCCUCCAAAGACCUACCACCAUCAUGCUCACCGCCGUGGCUGCGCCUGUUGCCUUCUCACCACCUUUCUCAAGCUCCUCGUCACCAUUGUCGUUGUGGUCGGUAUAGCAGUUUUGAUAUUAUGGUUCCUAUUCCGUCCCCAUAAACUCACCUUCGACGUCACUGACGCCGAACUAACCCGCUUCAACAUCUCCGGCAACCAACUCCAUUACAACCUGGCUUUAAACCUCACUAUCCGAAACCCCAACAAGCGAAUUGGGGUGUAUUAUGAUGUCAUCGAAGCUUCCCCAUUUUAUAAAGACCAAAGGCUUAACACCCAGUGGCUACCGCCGUUCUACCAAGGCCACAAAACCACCACCGUUCUCAGCCCCCACUUCGACGGCCAGCAGAUCGUGUUUCUGGCCGGAGAUAAGCUUACUGAGUUCAACGGUGAGACACUUGCCGGCAUCUUCAACGUCGACCUGAGGUUUCGUCUCCAGCUGAGGUUGAAAGUCGGGGUGGUGAGGAUCGGGAAGUUUAAGCCGAAGGUUAACUGUGAAUUGAAGGUUCCAUUGAAAUCAAAUGCCAACUCUUUUACUUUCUUGCAGGCCACUCGCUGUGACUUUGAUUUUUAAUUGGCCACUUCCGGGGUUUUGACUCAGUCAACUAUGUAGCAGAUUCUGUUGACUGAAUAAAAUCAUUAUUUUAUUUUUAUUGUUUUUGUUUUUAACCUUAAUAAUACCAUUCAUUUCUUUUUUGCUUUUUUGUUUAAUGGGUUUGGUAUUUGUCUAUAAUUUUAAUUUUAAAAUUUAAAUCUCAAGACACAAUAAAGAAAGAAAGAAAGAAAGAAAAACUCUAUUUUAAUAGUUAAAACAAAAGAUUAUAAGAAAACAUUGCCACCAUUGCAUACCCAAUGGUAAGAAUAAUAUAUUUCAUUCACCUAUCUUCAUGAUGAUGGGGUAUUGCUUCUUUAACAUAAACUUUUGUGUUUGAUUUACUUCUCGAAACCACUAAACGAACAUCAAUACCCAUAUAUAUAAUUCUCAUCAUUCCCUUCUCUAACUAUUAAUGACUUUAUUUUCACUUAACAUAAAAUUAAUUUAUAAAAUUGUUUUUGCUACUUUUAUAGAAUGUUAACUCAAAUUAAAUAAAUAAAUAAACAAGAUGUCUAAUUUUAUUAUAGUUAUAUACUAUGUUGGUGAUUCCUUGUUGUAAUGGCUGAUUUUGGACCAAUGCUAUAAGAGAUAUAAGUAUGGACAAAAACUAUAAGGUCGAUAAAAUUACAAAAUUUUGGGCCUAGAAAACAAAAUUAAUUUGUUUUUUAUACCCAAAUCAAUUGUUCUAUAUUGACACCAAGGCCGAAUAGCAAAUUAUGGAAUGUGUCCUAAGUAUCAUAAUAAAACAAAAAUAGGUCUAGGAAAAUAUUUCGAACUCCGCUAAGGAUAGGGUUGUCUCUAUUCAAGUAAAAAACAAGGUUCACUCCUUAGCUCGGUAAAUUGAAGGAAUUAUCCUAUAGCAACUUUGAAAUCUAACAAGGACAAUUUAGGUCAACCACUCUUCGUAAAUACAUCAUUAUUGCACAAAUAUUUGAAGUGUUUGUGUCAAAUACCACUAACCAGUUUAGUAUAUAAAUUUUGUGUUUGGCCAGAUAUAUUAUUUUACUUCUCGUAUAAAUUCACUACAACCAUUAUGCAUAGUCUUUAAAAGUUUUUUUUUUUUUCUAAUAGAAAUAUGUGUACAUUAUUGAAAAGUAAAAAUGUUUUUACUAAUUUCAUUGGCAUUUAACAGUCUAAGUAAUGUUCGGAGACUCUCCAAACAUGGUGAUCAUAUCUCAAUGAAGAAAAGAAAAACCUUUUAAAAAGUAGUCUUUUUGUUUGUCUCUUCAUUAAUUCAGCGAUUACCAACCAAUUAUAUCAAACCUUAUCAUAAACUUAAAAGUAAUAACUUUCAUUGGAUGAAUUUCCAUCUAAUUUACUAAUAUUGUCCAAAACUAGGCUAUUCACAAGGGCUUUGCUUUUAAGUUUAAACAAUAGUUCUUAACUUAUCGGAUACUUCUCAACUACUUACGAAUUUUAGUUUGAGCAUUAUAUGAAAAUUAUGAUGACAAUAACAACCAUACCCACUACUCAUCACUUCAUCAUAUUUAUGAAAGUAGAAAUAAUAAUAAUAAAGUUUAUAAAAGGAAAUGAAUGUUGAAAAAGGAAUUAAGCAUGGGCCGUAAUCCGGCCUGUAUUACAAUGGACAUGGCUUGUUUUGGGCCUAAGCCUUAAGAAGCCUUUAUCUAAAUCAUUCUUUACAUCAAAAAAAGAAAAUUAAAUGAAUUGAAGUCGACUUUUUCAUAUUACCAAAAAAUUGGAAUCACUUUUGUUCCAUUGAAAAGCUAAAAUCAUAAUGCCAUUUCCAUUUUUUCAUUGUUCGACUUAAAGCAUUUUCCACUAAAAUCAAAAUUAACUUUUGUUGGUCUUUUUCUAAAUUAAUAAAGAACAGGUGGGACGUAGGAAAGAUUUUUGUUUUUAUUUCUUUUUCAAAAAAACAAGUUUGUAUUUUCUAAAAUAGCAAAAUAUUGAAACUAUUUAUAAAAGAUUGAAAAUUCAUCAAAUCUAUAAAAAAAAAAAAUUUUUUUUGCUAUUUUCAAAAUAUAAUCAAAAGUUUUAAAAUGAAAAAGAAAAAAGAAAAUAGAUACCUUCUCAAAAACUACUCUUUCACUUUUUAAAAAGCAAAAAGAUUUAAAUAUUCCAUAUUAACAAAUAACGACAGCAAAACAAUACUUCAAUACCUUAUCAUGUUGAUCCACGAUAUAACAAAAACUCAUCCUAAAUACAAUUAAUCGGAAGCAACCACAGCAUUUAAUUUAAAAUGAAAUUGACAAGGGUUGAAGGGGGGGGGGGGGGGGGGGGGGGGGGGGGGGGCAAAAUGAUUAAAUGAGAUAAACCCACUCAAACUUUCGUACAUAAUAAAGGGUUUAUUAAAUUUCCAUAAGAAGUAGGGACAAGAACAUUUGGGAAUGGAGAAACGCACCCGUUGAUAUAUUUCAUAAAGUUUACCCCCAACUUUAUAAUUAAUAACAUUGGGAAAGACACAGAGAUUAAAAAUAAGUAAAAGGGGCAUUAUGUGUAAAGUUUAGGUUAAUGGGAUGUUUCUUUUUUAAUUAUUUCUAAGUUUUUUUUUUCUUCUUUCUUUCCAUCAUCUAAUAAAAUUAGGAAAGGGACAGAUACUUUGAUGAAAAAUUGACCACCACCCAUUUCCCAUGUGGAAGAUGGAACCCCACAUUUCCUUUCCAUACACAUCAUUGUUGUUUUGGAUAUGAAGCUUCUAUGUAACACUUCACUUUUAAUUAUUUCCUUCUUCAACUCUCACUCUUUUUAAUUAGUAUGUAUUGUGUGUGUUGAGUUUAGGGUUUAGGGAAAAUUAUAAUAUUUUCACUAAUUAUGCUAUAUUUAACUUUACAAAUUUAAAAAGUAAAUUUAUCAAGAAGAUAUAUAUGUAUAUUAAAAAGUUCAUCUACCUAAUGAUUUUUAUUCUACAGAAUAUUGAACCAUUUUUAUUAAGAUAUUGCAGUGCACUACAUCAAAUGUGGAAUCUGAUCCUCUUCAUGCUAUCAACCUAAAUUUCUUUUGUAAAGUUUUUAUAGAUAAUUGGUCUUUUGUAUGUAUUGUUUUAUAUAUAUAUAUAUAUAUAUAUAUAUAUAUAUAUAUAUAUAUAUAUAUAUAUAUAUAUAUAUAUAUAUAUAUAUAUGAUUUUAGGUGUGGUAAUUAAAUGUGGAUAAAGUGAUUGAGAUUUUUCUGUUUAGUUUUUAGUUUGUGUCAUGGUUAAGAAAGUUUCUUGAUCAUUUGGUUGUUUAUUAGACGAGCAGAAGCAAAAAUUUAAAUAUUUUAAAACAAAAUGGUGAAAGAAUGAUGUAUUGUCUAAGUUUUAGUUGUAAGUAUAGUGGAAAUUAGAGAAUCGAAGCUACUAAUUUUGUGUGGUAGAUACACAUAUGUGUUUGUAUUCAAAAUAUUGAAUGUAGUAUUAAAUAAAAGUAUUAAUUGUCUCUAUCUACAUUUCAUAGGCUGCAUCAUAAAAGAUACAUUAAAUUCCUAUGUGUUGAUUUAUUUUAGCCAAGAGAGCUGAAAAUUGUGGUGAUGUAUUGAAUUUCAAUGCGAUAAUGACGUGUGACCCAAAGGUUCUUUAACCUCAUUUUUUGGUUAAAUCAAUAUUUUAGUUCCAAAUUCUUAAACCGUGUAAUGCAUAAUUUUCUAUAAUAUUCACCAACUAAACUUCAUCAUAACUAAAAAUAAAUUAGUAGAGAAAAUAAGAAUGAUAGUAAAUGAUAAAUGGUAGGGAUAAACAAAAAUUGACACCAAAGGAGUGAAUAAUUAACAAACAUUGCCACUAAUUAAUCUCAUUUAUUAAACACAUUUCUUUUUCGCUAAUCCUUCCUUUCCGACACCCGCUUGUGCCUUUUUGUAUACACUUUCCAAUAUUAACAAUAAAUUCAUCACGAAAACACAUUUACCCAAAUGAAACAAAACCGUUAAGUAACGGCGUUUAUAUUUUAGGCAUUUUUAGCUUAGAAAAACUCAAACACUAACAUCGCAUUUCUGAACCACUUGGUACUUCACGUUGUACUGAACAAUCGACCCGUCUCCGUUCGCCGGAUACGCACCGAAGUUUAUCACCACCGGGCAGUUCGCGUGGAAUUGGUACCGCCCAGUGAUGAAGCUUCCGACCUUCCAUCGAACCUUGCCGUCAAUUUUGACCAGGAGCAUCAGUGCUCCGGCGUUCCUGUCUUGAUUCAGCUCCGAACUGAUGAAGGGCGCGACCGGCACGGAGGUGCCGGAGACGAAAGGGGACCAUACGUUGACGUCCUUAUGGCCUUGGUAGAAACGAGGGAUGAUGGUCCGGAGAGUGAUCUGUUGGUUUCGGUAGAUGGCGUAGACGUGGAGUUCGUCGUAGUAGAUUCCGAUUCGGCGGUUUGGGUUGCGGGAGGAAACAGUGAGGAGGAAAUUGGAGGUGAGGAAGCUGGGGACGGUGGCGUUGAAGGCGUAGACGGUGACGUCUUGAAGGAAGAAAGUGGGUUUGGUGGGACGGAGGACGGCCCAGACGAUGAGGAUGGUGAGGAGGACGAGGAAGAUGAAGAUGCCGAUGAUUGCGCCGAUUAGUUUGAUGAGCUUCUUGCGUUUUUUCUUGCAGUGCUUCUCGCAGUCGUAGGCCAUGGGUGUUCCGGGCGGCGAAGAAGAAGAAAGGAAAUGGCGUUUGUGUUAAAUGAGCAGUGG
rnacentral:lncRNA from 1 species